AGCGACCCGCUGCACACCACCAUCUUCGACACCUUGGGCUCCUCUUAAGUGGUCGGUGGUCGAGCAAUUUCUGUCAGCUCGGCUGCAAAAUGGACGAACGCGCGUCCGUGUAACGAACGUGCUUUUCGUUUUGUAUAUGACGAGUGAUGGAUGAGAGGGUAUCGCAAAGAUCCUUUGUUGAGUAAUGCAGGUCUGAUCACAUAGGAGAGCUGCUGGGACUUGGUGAUUUGUAAAAUAUGAACCAAUGGUGACUUAAUGCAUCCACUUGUACAUCAAUCUUGAGCUCAUCUUUUGUUUCGUUUUUUCGAUUACAAAGAUAGCAUCCACGCAAGUGCAAUCACACUACAGAAUUGACCGGGACCGCCCUGCCACACUGCCACUGAGCUUGCUACCCCUUUUAUCUCUUUUUUUUUUGAAAAAGGAGGCUUGCCCCCGGCCUCUACAUCUGAACGAUGCAUGCAGCCAUAUUAUUAAAAAAAUCUUAAAGUAUCACAAGGUCUUCAAAGUAUUACUGCUCGCAAAAGGAGCAAAGAAAAAUAAAAAACCGCAAUGCCGCAACCGGUAUGAAUUAAAGGACUAGGGCCCUAGACUCAUGUCCUGUUAUGCGACCGCCAUCCAAACCGGUUGACGCCCCCCUCGUAGGCGACACGGGGGACCAACCUCCGCCGCCAGCGACCCUCCCCACGUCCCGUCUCCCCUCCGCCGCCGCAGGUAGUCGGCGUCGGGCAAAGCCCGUGCUGCGACGCGGUGGCGGAGGGCCUCUCCCCUCUCCCCCGGAUCCAUGGGUAGCGCGGGCGCCCAGAUCCGCGGAGGUGCGGCCCCCACUUCGGCCCACGGCGGCGCGGCGUCCCAGCUGCGGUGGCUGUGGUGGUGCCGGUGGGAAUCGGCCAGAUGCACAGGGGGCGGCGACCCCAUGGCUGGGUGACGGCGCGCCCGUUCGUCCGACCGGUUCCGGCUCGUCCCGGAUCUGAUGACUACCGGACGGCGCAGGGGGUGGCGGCGGCCCGGUGUGGCCGGCGAUCUGGACAUGGUGGUGCCGGCGGUUCGAUGGUCUGCCGAAGAUCCAGGACUAUCAUCGUCUCCGACUCGAUCUGCUCCGAUUCGUGCUAGCUCUGGUACAGGGAGACUGUCGUCAUCUCCCGGUGCUGGCUGCAUGGAUCUGGUGGCGGCGGCUGGAUCCUUUUGAUCUAGUCUCCGAGACUCCGACCGAGAAGGCGGCGGUCCGUGCACAAGAAGCUGGAUGGAGUUCUUCGAACAGAUCUGGGUGAAAACCUGCUCGUGGCUAGAUGCCAAAGCCGGCGAUGGCGGCGCUCUACGACGUCGUUCCCUUUUUGAAGGCAUCACGGUGGAGAAGUUCUAGACUACUAUCUGCUACCUUCGGGGGAAACCCUAGAUCGAUAUAUCAGAAGACGGCGACGCGAUUGUGUCGUUUCCCCCUUGGGGGCGUCUUUCUUGGAGGUGUACGCGGGCUCGAGGGACCAGCGAACGACGUCUUUUGGUGGAGCGGUGCCUCACCAUACACAUGGAUGGUGACAGAUCUCGCUGGCAUGGCGCCCUGGAGAUUAGGAGUCUGAUGUGCGAUGAUGGACUCGCGCAGGAGGGUGACGUUGUCUGACAUCGUGGUGGCGUCGACGGCAGCUAGACCGGGCAAGGUGGAUGCAGAAGUACAACACUGAAGGUGGAUUGGUGGCACGUGGCUGCGGCGGCCUCAUCGAUUCAAUAGAAGCCCAAAGAGGUGCAUAUGGUACCCAAAUAAGAAUAGGAUAGAUAUGUCAAAAGCAGCCUGGCAGGCGUCUUGAUUGAGGAGUGCGCCGGACUGGUAGGUGCCCCAUACCCGAUAGGCGUCCUGGUUGGGACCUCAGGUCUUAGAUGUUUAGGUUUGGCUGCGAUGUCUGUUUGGUAUUAGGCCCAGGCUAUCAGUGCCCCUUCAUCAAUUGGAUAGGAGUAGCGACAGUUGUUGCUUAGACGGUGGCUUUAGUAUUACUGUUGUAUGACUUUGUAAGGUCUUGUGAGAAUAACUAAUAAAGUGGCCGUAUGCAUCGCCCAGAUGCAAAGGCCGGGGGUCCUCCUCCUUGUCUAAAAUAAAAUAAAAUCCAAACCGGUUGAAUAUAGCCCGUGCUACCAUCUCCCAUUGGUUGCACCCAGUAACCAGUGGCUCCCUGGAGUCCGUAGGAGUGAGUAAGGACCACGUACGGAUUCAUGUCGUAGCUCUGUAGAUGACAUGCAAGAAGUUUAAAAUGUGUUGUCUGUUAAAAAUCAUAUCAUUCCUGCAGUUCCAUAUAGCCCACAUAAAUGCACAUAUUUCAAUUCGAAUACGAGCCGCAGUAAAAUGUUCCACCCCAGCUAACCCCUUUGAUCUCUACCACUGAAUCUUCCCUAAAACCAUGUAUUUCUUUUCCUAGUUCACCUUCAUGUUCCCCGACAUAGUAUUCAAUCUACACACUGCUAUUCUUCAAGGAUGAAUUUGAAAUCUUAGUAUUUCAAGCAACGAAACAAUUUCAUAAGCACCUUUAAAAGCAAUAAAUCCUUCUAUUUGCUUCACAUUAUAGUAAUCAUAUACACCAUUAGCAUAAAAGUAAAUGUUUCAUCACAUUGGAAAGGAAGGUGUGGAGCCUUCAUCAUAUAUAGAGUGCAUAUUCCAAGCAUACCAUCAUAAUAUUUUAACUUCCCUUUUUGAGUAAAGCGAUAAUCCUUAAAGUAUUCAUGUUGAUCCAACCAUGAUAAUGGAACAUUGAAUAUUUCUUUCAUAUCCCAUUAUCAUGUUGAACGGUGAUUUAUCAGGGUUAUGAAAGAAAUUUCAAUGUUACGCACAUAGUCAGCAUCGAGGGUUACACACAUAGUCAACAUCAAGGGUUUUAGAAGGUUCACUAUUUUCAUGAGUAGCAAGUACAACUAUUUUUUGGGUGUUUCGUGUUCCAUACUAAUAACCAAAGAUAGAGAAUAACUUAGAACAGAAAAUAAAAUCUAUUUAGUGAUAAAGCAAACAAGUACACACGAGAAUAUUCACCCCACACUAUUGCUCCCCGGUAACGAUGCCAGAAAAGAUCUUGAUAAUCCACAAGUAUAGGAGAUCAGUUGUGGCCUUUUCGAUAAAUAAGAGUGUCGAACUCAACGAGGUGCUAAAGAUAGAAUUAUAUUCUCUCAAGUUCUACCAAUCACUGAUACAACUCUACACACACUAAUGUUUGCUUUACCUAGAAACAAGAAAUAAAACUACUUCGCAAGAAUAAAAUAUAGUUUUGCAACAUAAUAAUGAGUUGGUUGUUGUUUUAGUAAAAGAACAAUAAAGUAAAGGUUUUCUUGAAAACAAUGAGAAAAGGAUUGUCCCUAGGCAAUUGCAUAUGACACGAUAAUGAUAUUCAUCAUAUUUAUGGGGGAGAGACCUAAGCUAACAUACUUUUCCUACUUGGGUCAUAUAUUCUUAUGAUUGGAACUCUAGCAAGUAUUCGCAACAACCAAAGAUUCAUUAAGGUAAAACCCAACCAUAUCAUUAAGUCAAAAGUCCCCUUUAAUCCCAUAUACAACAACUCACUAACUCAAGAUUAGGCUUGAGUCACUCCCGCUACCCACUAUAAGAAAAUCAUUAAUAUAUAGCAACACCCUGGAGUGGGGAUCCUGUUGGGGAACGUAGCAUGCAAUUUCAAAAAAAUUCCUACACUCUUGCAAGAUCUAUCUAGGAGAUGCAUAUCAAGGAGAGGGGGAGAGUGUGUCUACGUACCCUCAUAGACCGAAAGCGAAAGCGCUUGACAACGUGGUUGAUGUAGUCGAACUUAUUCUAGCUCUGACCGAUCAAGCAUCAAACGUACGGCACCUCCGAGUUCUGCACACGUUCAGCGCGAUGACGUCCCUUGCCUUCUUGAUCUAGCAAGGUGUCGAGAAAGUAGAUGAGUUCCGUCAACACGACGGCGUGGUGACGGUGAUGGUGAAGUGAUUCUUGCAGGGCUUCGCCUAAGCACCGCAAAACUAUGACCAGGGGUGUAAGCUGUGGAGGGGGGUGCCGCACACGGCUAACGAUUGUUGUUGUGUGUUCUAGGCGCCCCCUCCCCAAUCCGUCCUCCCCCUUUCCUUUUUACUGGAGGAGGAAAAGGGAAGGGAGAAGAGAGAAAGGAAGGGGGGCGAACCCCCCUUUUCCUUCUCCAAUAUGACCAGCUUCCAUAGGGGGGCGCGCCACCCCUUGUGGGCUUGUGUGUUCCCCUCUCAUGGCCCAUAAGGCCCAUAUCUUUCCCCCGGGGGUUCCGGUAACCCCCCCCGGCCCCGGUACUCCGAUAAAUACCUGGUACUAUCUGGAACACUUCUGGUGUCCGAAUACUAUCAUACUAUAUAUCAAUCUUUACCUCUCGAUUAUUUCGAGACUCCUCUUCAUGUCUGUGAUCUCAUCCGGGACUCCUAACAACAUUUCGUCACCAAAUCACAUAACUCAUAUAAUACUAAAUCGUCAUCAAAUGUUAAGCGUGCGGACCCUACGGGUUCGAGAACUAUGUAGACAUGACCAAGACACCUCUCCAGUCAAUAACCAAUAGCGGAACCUAGAUGCUCAUAUUGGAUCCAACAUAUUCUACGAAGAUCUUUAUCGGUCGAACCGUUAUGACAUCAUACGUUAUCCCUUUGUCAUCGGUAUGUUACUUGCCCGAGAUUCGAUCGUCGGUAUCUACAUACCUAGUUCAAUCUCGUUACCGUUAAGUCUCUUUACUCAUUUUGUAAUACAUCAUCUUGCAACCAACUCAUUAGUUACUUUGCUUGCAAGGCUUCUUAGGAUGUGUAUUACCGAGAGGGCCCAGAGAUACCUCUCCGAUACUCGGAGUGACAAAUCCUAAUCUUGAUCUAUGCCAACCCAACAAACACCUUCGGAAAUACCUGUAGAGCAUCUUUAUAAUCACCCAGUUACGUUGUGACGUUUGAUAUCACAAAAGGCAUUCCUCCGGUAUUCGGGAGUUGCAUAAUCUCAUAGUCGAAGGAAUCUGUAUUUGACAUGAAGAAAGCAAUAGCAAUAAAAGUGAAUGAUCAAUAUGCUAAGCUAACGGAUGGGUCAUGUCCAUCACAUCAUUCUCCUAAUGAUGUGAUCCCGUUCAUCAAAUGACAACACAUGUCUAUGGUUAGGAAACUUAAGCAUCCUUGAUUAAUGAGCUAGUCUAGUACAUGCUUACUAAGAGACACGGUGUUUUGUCUAUGUAUCCACACAUGUAUCAAGUUUCCGGUUAAUACAAUUCUAGCAUGAAUAGUAAACAUUUAUCAUGAAUAAGGAAAUAUAUAAAUUUAUUAUUGCCUCUAGGGAAUAUUUUCUUCAGAUCCCACACGCUUGCGCGACACGAUGGGCACCAUAGGACAACACCCUAAUAACAUACAACUCAUAUCAAUCAUACCAUACAACAAUUAACCCAUAGGACAAAAAGAAACUACUCAAACAUAAUAGAGAUGCAACGCACCAUUGGAUAAUACUCCCUCCGUUUCUUUUUAGUCCGGAUAUAAGGUUUGGUCAAAGUCAAGCUUUGUAGAGUUCGACUAACUUUAUAUUUAAAAAUAUAAACAUUCACAAUAUGAAAUCAAUAUUAUCAGAUGCACCAUGAAACAUAUGUUCAUACUAUAUAAUUUUAGUAUUGUAGAUGUUCACAUUUUUUAUAUAAAUUUGGUCAAACUUUGUGCAGUUUGACUUUGACCAAAUCUUAUAUGCGGAGUAAAAAGAAACGGAGGGAGUAAUAUAUAGCAUAGAGCACCAUGCUCAAGUAGAUAUUACAACGGGGUGAGAGAGGAUACACCACUGCACGGAGAGGGAAAAAGUUGUCGAUGACGACGGGGAAGUUGUUGGAGUAGACCGCCAUCAUGAUGGUUUCCCCGGCCACGCUCCGGCGCCACCGGGAGAGAGGGGGAGAGAGGCCCCACUCCUCCUUAUUCUUCUUCUUGCUUGGAUUUCCCCUAGAUAUAAGAAGGGUCCCCCCUCUAGUCCUUGGCAUAAAUACUGAAGGAAAUAUGCCCUAGAGGCAAUAAUAAAGUUAUUAUUUAUUUCCUUAUUUCAUGAUAAAUGUUUAUUAUUCAUGCUAGAAUUGUAUUAACCGGAAACAUGGUACAUGUGUGAAUACAUAGACAAAUAGAAUGUCACUAGUAUGCCUCUACUUGACUAGCUCGUUAAUCAAACAUGGUUAUGUUACCUAACCAUAGACAUGAGUUGUCAUUUGAUUAAUGGGAUCACAUCAUUAGGAGAAUGAUGUGAUUGACUUGACCCAUUCCGUUAGCUUAGCACUUGAUCGUUUAGUAUGUUGCUAUUACUUUCUUCAUGACUUAUACAUGUUCCUAUGACUAUGAGAUUAUGUAACUCCCGUUUACUGGAGGAACACUUUGUGUCCUACCAAACGUCACAACGUAACUGGGUGAUUAUAAAGGUGCUCUACAGGUGUCUCCAAAGGUACUUGUUGGGUUGGCGUAUUUCAAGAUUAGGAUUUGUCACUCCGAUUAUCGGAGAGGUAUCUCUGGGCCCACUCGGCAAUGCACAUCACUAUAAGCCUUGCAAGCAUUGUAACCGAUGAGUUAGUUGCGGGAUGAUGUAUUAUGGAAUGAGUAAAGAGACUUGCCGGUAACGAGAUUGAACUAGGUAUUGAGAUACCGACGAUCAAAUCUCGGGAAAGUAACAUAUUGAUGACAAAGGGAAAAACGUAUGUUGUUAUGCGGUUUGACCGAUAAAGAUCUUCGUAGAAUAUGUGGGAGCCAAUAUGAGCAUCCAGGUUUUGCUAUUGGUUAUUGAUCGGAGACGUGUCUCGGUCAUUGAUACGUCUCCAAUGUAUCUAUAAUUUUUGAUUGUUCCAUGCUAUAUUAUAUUCUGUUUUGGACAUUACUGGGCUUUAUUAUACACUUUUAUAUUAUUUUUGGGACUAACCUAUUAACCGGAAGCCCAGCUCAGAAUUGCUGUUUUGUUGCCUAUUUUAGGGUUUCGCAUAAAAAGAAUAUCAAACGGAGUCCAAACGGAAUGAAACCUUCGGGAACGUGAUUUUCGGAAUGAACAUGAUCCAGAGGACUUGGACCCUUCGUCAAGACAUCAACCAGGAGGCCACAAGGUAGGGGGCGCGCCUACCCCCCUGGGCGCGCCCUCCACCCUCGUGGGCCCCCUGUUGCUCCACCAACGUACUCCUUCCUCCUAUAUAUACCUACGUACCCCCAAACUAUCAGAUACGGAUCCAAAACCCUAAUUCCACCACCGUAAGUUUCUGUAUCCAUGAGAUCCCAUCUUGGGGCCUGUUCCGGAGCUCCACCGGAGGGGGCAUCGAUCACGGAGGGCUUCUACAUCAAUACCAUAGCCUCUCCUAUGAAGUGUGAGUAGUUUACCUCAGACCUUCGGGUCCAUAGUUAUUAGCUAGAUGGUUUCUUCUGUCUUUUUGGAUCUUAAUACAAAGUUCUCCCCCUCUCUUGUGGAGAUCUAUUGGAUGUAAUCUUCUUUUGCGCUGUGUUUGUUGAGACCGAUGAAUUGUGGGUUUAUGAUCAAGUUUAUCUAUGAACAAUAUUUGAAUCUUCUCUUAAUUCUUUUAUGUAUGAUUGGUUAUCUUUGCAAGUCUCUUCGAAUUAUCAGUUUGGUUUGGCCGACUAGAUUGAUCUUUCUUGCAAUGGGAGAAGUGCUUAGCUUUGGGUUCAAUCUUGCGGUGUCCUUUCCCAGUGAUAGUAGGGGCAGCAAGGCACAUAUUGUAUUGUUGCCAUCGAGGAUAACAAGAUGGGGUUUACAUCAUAUUGCAUGAGUUUAUCCCUCUACAUCAUGUCAUCUUGCUUAAAGCGUUACUCUGUUCUCUUGAACUUAAUACUCUAGAUGCAUGCUGGAUAGCGGUCGAUGUGUGGAGUAAUAGUAGUAGAUGCAGGCAAGAGUCGGUCUACUUGUCUCGGACGUGAUGCAUAUAUACAUGAUCAUACCUAGAUAUUCUCAUAACUAUGCUCAAUUCUGUCAAUUGCUCAACAAUAAUUUGUUCACCCACCGUAAAUACUUAUGCUCUUGAGAGAAGCCACUAGUGAAACCUAUGGCCCUCGGGUCUAUCUUCCAUCAUAUUAAUCUUCCAAUACUUAGUUAUUUCCUUUGCCAUUUAUUUUACUCUGUAGCUUUAUCAUAAAAAUACCAAAAAUAUUAUCUUAUCAUAUCUAUUAGAUCUCACUCUCGUAAGUGACCGUGUAGGGAUUGACAACCCCUUAUCGCAUUGGUUGCAUGGAUUUAUUUGUUUGUGUAUGUGCGAGGGACUCGUGCGUGGCCUCCUACUGGAUUGAUACCUUGGUUCUCAAAAACUGAGGGAAAUACUUACGCUACUUUGCUGCAUCACCCUUUCCUCUUCAAGGGAAAACCAACGCAAGUGCUCAAGAGGUAGCAGUCAUGUCUACAUAGUUCUCGAACCCGUAGGGUCCGCACGCUUAAUGUUCAGUGACGAUUUGUAUUAUGAGUUUAUGUGUUUUGAUGUACCGAAGGUAGUUCGGAGUCCCGGAUGAGAUUGGGGACAUGUCGAGGAGUCUCGAAAUGGUCGAGACAUAAAGAUCGAUAUAUUGGACGACUAUAUUCGGACAUCGGAAAGGUUCCGAGUGGUUCGGGUAUUUUUUCGGAUUACCGGGGAGUUACGAGAAUACGGGGGAAGAAGUAUAUGGGCCUUAUUGGGCUUUAGGGGAGAGAGAGAGAGGCAGGCCGUGCGCCCCCCAAUGACUAGUCCGAAUUGGACUAGGGGGAGGGGCGGCGCCCCCUCCUUCCUUCUCUUCCCUCUUCCCCUUCCUUGUCUCCUACUCCUACUACUUGGAAGGGGAGGAAUCCUACUCCCGGUGGGAGUAGGACUCCUCCAGGGCACGCCAUAGGGGUCGGCCCUCUCCCCCUCCUCCACUCAUUUAUAUACGUGGCCAGGGGGCACCCCAUAGACACAAUAAUUGAUCUCUUGAUCUCUUAGCCGUGUGCGGUGCCCCCCUCCACCAUAUUCCACCCCGAUCAUAUCGUAGCGGUGCUUAGGCGAAGCCCUGCGUCGGUAGCAACAUCAUCACCGUCACCACGCCAUCGUGCUGAUGGAACUCUCCCGUGAAGCUCUGCUAGAUCGGAGUUUGUGGGACGUCAUCGAGCUGAACGUGUGCUGAACUCGGAGGUGCCGUACGUUCGGUACUUGGAUCGGUCGGAUUGUGAAGACGUACGACUACAUCAUCCGUGUUGUGCUAACGCUUCCGCUUUCGGUCCACGAGGGUAUGUAGACAACACUCUCCCCUCUCGUUGCUAUGCAUCUCCAUGAUCCUAUGUGUGCGUAAGAAUUUUUUUGAACUUACUACGUUCCCCAACAGUGGUAUCCGAGCCUGAUUUUAUGCGUAGAUGUUAUAUGCACGAGUAGAACACAAGUGAUUUGUGGACGAUACAAGUCAUACUGCUUACCAGCAUGCCAUACUUUGGUUCGGCGGUAUUGUUGGAUGAAGCGGCCCGGACCGACAUUACACGAGACUGGUUCUACCGACGUGCUUUGCACAUAGGUGGCUGGCGGGUGUCAGUUUCUCCAACUUUAGUUGAACCGAGUGUGGCUACGCCCGGUCGUUGAGAAGGUUAAAACAACACUAACUUGAUGAACUAUCAUUGUGGUUUUGAUGCGUAGGUAAGAACGGUUCUUGCUCAGCCUGUAGCAGCCACAUAAAACUUGCAACAACAAAGUAGAUGACGUCUAACUUGUUUUUGCAGGGCAUGUUGUGAUGUGAUAUGGUCAAGACAUGAUGCUAUAUUUAUUGUAUGAGAUGAUCAUGUUUUGUAACGGAGUUAUCGACAACUGGCAGGAGCCAUAUGGUUGUCGCUUUAUUGUCACUACAAAAAAAUACACUUCCGUGAUGAUACGUGUUUGUCAUAGUAGGUCGCUUUUUUUGUCAUGCAUGUACAUCCAUGACAAAUUUAUGACAAAAUCAAGAUAGUCAUACGUGUGCUGUCGUAGAAGUGUUCCAUGACAUUACCAAAAUUAUCAUCACGGAAGUGUCCACUUGCAUGACGAUAAAUCGUGCAUCACAGAAGUGCUUUCGUCAAGGGUGACCGACAUGUGGCAUCCACCGUAACGAAACACCGUUAAGCUAUCGGGUCGGGUUUUGGAUCCGAUAACCCGUUAACAGCCCCGACCAAUGGGAAUUUUCCACGUGUAAAAUCAUCAUUGGCUAGAGGAAACACGUGUCGACUCAUCGUCGGGACAGAUGUCAUCCACUCACUGGACAGAAGGCGCCUAUGAUACGCCGACACGUGGCACGGCCCAACAAGUUUAAAUGGGCCGGCCCAACUAAAGGCCCACAAGAUUUUGCAGACCAUAAUGGGCCAGCCCAACUAAAGGCCCACGAGAUUUUGCGGACCAUAAUGGGUUGGCCCAGCUAAAGGCCCAUAAGAUUUCACGGGCCAUAAUGGGCCGACCCAGGUAAAGGCCCACAAGAUUUUUGUGUGCCAUAAUAGGCCGGCCCAGAUAAAGGCCCACAAAAUUCUUGCGGAUCAUAAUGGGCCGGCCCAGCUAAAGGCCCACGAGAUUUCGCCGACAUUAAUGGGCCGGCCCAGCUGUAGGCCCAAAAGAUUUUGAGGAUCCUAGUAGGCCGACCCGUUAACUGGCUGCUAUGUUUUGGGCCAAAUGCCGGCCCAUAUUUGAUACGGUCUAUUAAUGGCCUGCCACGCUCCGGGCCUAAUAGUGGCCCAUAUGAGAUCUGGCCCGUUAAAAGCCUACCAUGUUCUGGGCCAAAUUACGGCCCAGAUCAGGUCCGGCCCUUUAAGAGGUUUUGGGCCUAAUUAUGGCCCAUAUCAGAUUCGGCCCGUCAAUUGGACACUAUGCUUUUGGGCCCACUUGCUAAAGGUCCACUUAGCAAUUCAGCCUGAUAUUAGUUUUGGCCUGUUAAGGGCCCGUUUAAUAUUUUGGCCCUAUAUUAAUUUCAGCCUGUUAAAAGCCCAUCAUAUAGUUGGGCCUAACUACGGCCCGGUUUGCAUCCGGCCUGCUCGCAGCCGAUAUCUGAUUGGGCCAAACAAGGACCGAGACAAUUUUCCGGCCUAUUAAAAGCCUGUGAUUUGAUUCGCACAAUCAUGGGUCAGGGUUCAUUUCGGGCUGCUGCCGGCCGGUGAGCUGAUCGGCACGUUUCAGGCCCAACCUACAUCAUGAUUGCAUGAUGGCCUGAUUAUGUACCAUAAUUUUACGGUUUGGCCGGUUUACUGCGAAGAUAGGAUAUAUAUACAGUAAAAUAACUACAGCAUCGUGAAUAAGAAAAAACCUAUACUAUACAAUAAAGAAAUUAUGGCAUAUUACAUCCACUGGGCAUCAAAGUUCGCCACUAUGAUAAUAAAGCACAAGCAAACAACAGAUUACAUACAUUGGGCAUCAAAGAUCGCCACCAGUGCAAAUAAACACGCCGACAAAAUAAUAUACAAAACCGACAGCACUUCAAUAGAGUUCAAGAAAGGUUAGCCCUGCUGGGGAGCUGUAGCGCGAGCAGCUGAGCAAGAUGAUGAGACUGUGCUUGUUCAACACUUAUAUCUUCCUCACUCUGAAAGAUAAACAAGCAGACAGAUGACAGGUUUUGCACAUAAAAGUAUCAGUGCUGACAAUUCAUCACAUUUCUUACUGAGAAUAGAGUGACACAGUUUAAAUUUGCAUUAACACAAUAUGGUAUUGUUCAGGUCAAGACAUGGCUGGAAAUGACAUUGUGAAGGAGUUGGCAGCUUCACGACACCACUGGAUUACAGAUCAAGAACUCAUAAGUAUCAAUGGUUAGUUUGUUGUCAAUCUAUACCAUUUCAGAUUGGCAACUAAAGUGACGGUUCAAAUAAUAGUAGAAUGAUAUGACAUUUUUCAUAGUUAAGACAUUGCAGAAUAUGACAUUGUGCUGUAGUGGGUAGGUUCACCACACCACUGGAUUACAGAUGAAGAACAGAAGCAUACAUGCAGUGCAAAAGAAGAUCACUUGCUCUGUAUAGUUUAAUUUACAUGGUAUGAAGAAGGAACUUGGUUGUACAACUGAAAACUUAAAUUGAGAAAGGACGAACUUUUGUUUAUGAACUACAUAUAAUAAACUUUAAACAAGCAAUUUGAUGCAAACACCAAAAAUAAACAGCUGUUGCAGUCAUGCCUAACCAAAUAUAUACAACAAUGUUUGAACGCUUGAGAUGGACAAACUUACAUUAUUGGUGAAGACAGGCUCUAUAAAGGCCUUGUCCAUGCUGAUGGGGGGNNNNNNNNNNNNNNNNNNNNNNNNNNNNNNNNNNNNNNNNNNNNNNNNNNNNNNNNNNNNNNNNNNNNNNNNNNNNNNNNNNNNNNNNNNNNNNNNNNNNNNNNNNNNNNNNNNNNNNNNNNNNNNNNNNNNNNNNNNNNNNNNNNNNNNNNNNNNNNNNNNNNNNNNNNNNNNNNNNNNNNNNNNNNNNNNNNNNNNNNNNNNNNNNNNNNNNNNNNNNNNNNNNNNNNNNNNNNNNNNNNNNNNNNNNNNNNNNNNNNNNNNNNNNNNNNNNNNNNNNNNNNNNNNNNNNNNNNNNNNNNNNNNNNNNNNNNNNNNNNNNNNNNNNNNNNNNNNNNNNNNNNNNNNNNNNNNNNNNNNNNNNNNNNNNNNNNNNNNNNNNNNNNNNNNNNNNNNACAUUUUGUUAAGAGUAAAUAUAGAUGUGAUAAUAUACAAAAAAUGGAGAAUAUUUAAGAUAAGAUGAAGAGUGAUGCUACAUAACCAAGUAGCUAUAAAUGUAAGUGCAGCGAUACAGGCAAAAGGUACAACCAAGAGCAAUGCACAGCUAAACUUCUUCAGUACCAACCUUAUGGUAAGAGUAAAUAUAGAUCUGUUGUGUAGAAAAUGAAGGGCAAAGGAAAAUAAGCUGCAGAGUGAUGGUACAUGAACAACUACCUGUCAUUAUAAGUACACUGAUAAAGGACAACAUGUACUUAUAAGAACAAUGCAGAGCUAAAAAACAUUGGCAUUGGAUAUAUUCUACAUUAAUGUAACCAUUCAUACAGAUCAGAUAAUUUGGAGUGAACAAUUGAUAAGCAAGCUAUCAUGCAUACUGCUGUCACAUAAUGAACCAGAUAUGCAUGCAAGUACAAUGAUACAGGACAAUAGGUACUAACAAGAGCAAAGCAGCGGGCAACAUAUUUGUGAUAUCUUGUCAUUCUUGUCAAACCGGAAUUCUUCUUCGAGCAGAUUUCCUGCAAAAAAGAUCCGUAAGGCACAUGCGGAAAAGUAGAAGUUCAAAUUGUCAUGUGAUUUCAUAGACAGUACCUCAUCCUGGGAAUGAUACCAGUGCAUAACAAGGAAUGUCUUCUAAAUUUAGCACAGGAGACUUCAUCGGAAAUUCGUUUAUAGACUUACCAUCAAAGUGUGAUUUCCUCACGCAACACCGAUACUGCUGCAAUGCUUCCUUGAAAAGCACAAGCAAGCUUUUCUUGUCAUGACUAUCCAGGUUGACCCUCGCCUAGUUACAACAAUGUAAUGUAAAUCAUUGAUGUGUUCAAUGAGUAGAAAACAGGAAAAUAAUAGCCAUGAAUAAUAGCACUUACACGUAAGUUGGACAGGAAGAUGUGAAAAUGGUGUUUGUCUUCACAAUAAUCUUCCCAUGAUGGGAAUAUAUGCACAUAGUCCCUAACAACGUUGAAAGCAUUGUCUUUUAAACUGGGAAUAAAUGGAAUGGGGUUCCAAUCUGCAGGAAUUGGCCGUCUCUGUAGUUGGGAUAGGUCUUCGGCCGGUGGACUUGCUGUACUUUUUGCUGGAGUGGGAUUUUUCUGUGGUACAGCAGGUGCUAUGGCAAAUGAAAUCGGUAUACCUUUUGCUGGAGUGCAGGUCCUGUGUGGUGGGGCUAGUGGUGUGGCUAGUGAAGUAUGGGUACAGUCUGCUAGAGUUGGUCCUACGUUUUGUGUCACUGGUUGUACAACCAAUAUAAGUGGGGUGCUGUCUAAUUUCUCCGGCACCACCACGUUUUUCAAGGACUUUGCUGGUGCUCCUUCAGGUUCGUAAUCACCCUCUUCAUUUUUGAUGUCUGAUGCACAAGAACAACAUUUGAGUGGAAAAACAUGGUAUGAUGACAGAUGGAAUAUGUAUUGAUAAUGGAUGGGCAUGGCAUCUCGACAUAUAUGAUGAGUAAACUAAGCAGAUGGCGGUGCAACAAAGUAGAAGAAAUGCAAGACAACAUAUGCAAGAUACGCGCAACCAAUAAAAUCUUGCCAAAUUAGAAUAGGCACCUUGAUGGGUGAAUAGGACAGGCCAUCUGCCUUUGACUCCUCGAGGUUAGAAUAGUCAUUAGGAUGAUAUUCUGAACAACAAUCAACAGGUGGGGAGCGUACGAGUUUCAUUGCUUCCAGAAUGGCACUCAAUGCCUUGCUGCCAAUUUUGUAAGUCAUUGUAGUGUUCCAUAAUAUUCUUCUGAUGCGCGGAUUCUGAUAUUCACUGUAAUUGCGUAUAAUAUCUGAGAACCAUGAAAACAUAAAUAGUUGUGAGAUUAUCUUUGUAAUGCAGAUGAUAUUCUAAUAUAGGGGCGCCCCUGUAAACACUUGUGUGCUAUCACUAGAUUCUGAUGAGAGAGCUCAUGUGUGCUGUAAUAUGGUGCGUUCAUUUAUAUAAUCUGGCACAAGUACACAAAAAAAUAGGCUCCAGAAGAAAGGAUAGCUGGCAGAUGAUAGGUUCAUAAUAUACUGUAUAGAGAGUUUAUUGCCAAACCAUGAUAACAAGAGCACACAGCAACUAGGCAGAUCGUAGGGGCUGUUUGGUUUUAGGACUAGCAUUGCCACACUUUGCCACACAUUUUUGUCAAACUUCACUAAGGUUAGUUCAUCAAAAUGAGAGCCACAAGUUGGCAAGCCUAAGGGAAUCUUGCCACACUUUUUGUGUGUAUGCCAUGUGGGGUCCAAGUGUGGCUUGCCUAAGAUGUGGCUUGAACCAAACACUCACCUAAGUUGGUCAAACUUGCCUAACCUUAGGUGUGGCAAUCUUUGGCAAAGUUAGUCACAAACCAAACAGCCCCUACAUAACAGGGGUACACCAUAACCAGGAUAUAUAAAUCGGGAAAGUGGAACUGGCUGGAAAUUACGGUGUUGUAUUGCCGCUAGUAAUUGAAAGCCUAUCGAUCACGUACAGGCCAGCUCUAUCAGCUAUUGACUGCAGAUGUCCCUCCUCCCCUUCCUGACAAGGAACAUACUGUGCUUCCCAUACAGAACACCGCACGGGCCGCCGGCCGAACCACCAGCCCCACCGCCUGUGUUCCUCCGCCACCCCCACCCCCGCCCCCACCCGCGUCGAGUUUUCUUCGUUCGACGAGGCCCCACCACCGCCCCCCACAACCACCGUCCCCACCCGAGCCCCUUCGAUCGCACCGGCGAACUCCGGCGAGCUCUGAAAAAUCGACUGACCCAAUUUUGAAAUUUAGUCUACUGUGAUUUAACUAGUGUGGAAUAUAAAAGGGGGAAACCAUAAGCAUUGCGAGUAUGGUGUUGAGCGUGCCAUGGCGGAUCUGAAGGUGCAAACCAGACAAAGGCAACUUCGCAACCAAGACAACAAAUCAGAGUAAAGCAGUGGCGAUCUAUUUUUUUGCUGCGAUAAAUAAGUUGAGCAGAUACAAAAGAGUACCGCCUCUGGUGUGGCGCCGUGUACGCAUCUACUGAGAAUUUGACGGUGCUGCGGUAGCGAUGGCUGUCGGUGGUGUGGAAGCAUAUCUAGGAGGGUAGACCGUGGCGGUGGGGCGCGGUGGACGAGACGGUCGUAGGAGUGGUGCCGGCAAGGUGGACGACGGCGGGGAUGAAGCGAGAGGACGGGAUGCAAGGAUCCCGGUCCGAAGCCGUGGAUGAGAGAUGUCGAUCUCUUGUAAUGGACGGAGGCGUUGGGGUAUCAGCUCCGAAAUGGUGGAGGAGGACGGCAGUGGAUGGGGUGGCGGACGGCGGCGGACGGAGGAGAGUGGGGUGGAGAGGGUGUUUUGGCGCCCACAGAGUACGAAUGGGGAAAAGGGAGGUAGAGAGGAAGGAGGGAACCAUGUAUUCAGGGCGCGCUUGUCUCAAAUGCAAGGAAAUUUACAAACUUAGCCCCCGUUUCAAAUUUCUACUACAUCAGAGCAACACUAGUCGGUUGGGGAUAGGACGGUAAUCUCGCAUACACCGAAUAUUUGCCGACGAGAGUUUGUUUUUGGCGCCCACCGUGUAUGAAUAUGAAUCGGGGAGGAGGUCGAUUUCGGCUGAGGACACACUGUGUUUUGGCGCCCACCGUGUAUGAAUCCGGGUGAGAGGCGGUUAUGUCACGUUUGGGUGAAAUUACAAACCUACCCCUAUCGAAACCUAUAGAAAUUCAGCAUAUAGGCUUUGCGUGGCAGGGAUAGGCAGUAGUGAUUUCCAUCUCGCAGAUUUUGGUUUCGGGCGGUUACUGCGACUUUCCCCGCUUCGUUCAAAUUUUACAGAGUGCAUGUUUACCGUGCCAACUCAAUUCGAAUCCCGUUUGUAUUCUAUUUUUUAGGCGGGGUCCAUUUUCAAUUGGAAUUACAUUCUAUAUACAUCAUUUUUAUAUAUACUUUCAAAAGCACAACAAAGAUUCUGCUCCUUUAUAUGUAUAAUAUGAUUUACAAAUACAACGAUCUCGAAAUCUUAAGGUUGAAUUCGAAAAAAUUUAACCAAAUUAUGUUCUACUAAAAUGUAUGGAUCAGUAAUAUGUACAUAUUAAAUAACAUAGAUGUGCGUGAAUUCAUAUGAGUAUGCAUGUUUGAUAGAUCAAUUUUGGUUCGAGUAUGGAUUACAUGUAUCAUCAUCUCGAAUUCAAAUAUUUGAAUCCCUUUUUUGUUCACUCCUUUCACGCCCAUCUCUCUCUCGCAUGCAUGCUCCUUCAGGUAGCUAUCACUCUCUUUUCUCCAGCUCACCUGCACGCUCACUUCAUGUUGCUCCUAUCCUCGCAAACAUGGUCUCUCGACGUCUCCCUUGAGAAGUGUCACACUCUCCCUAUCAUUAUAAAUUACACGGUUUUCAUUAUCUCUCACGUCUCUACUAUUCUCUGGUAUCACUCGGUACCUAAGCUUUCUUUUUCACCGCCAAACACACAGUCUCCACUCGUCUUUCACUUUGUAUUUCUCUCUAUGGCAUUCUCUCACACACCCUAUAUGUCUCUACAUAUGACUCAUACCACUAAAAUUACUCUCUCUAUCUCUCCUGUAGACACAACAUUUGUUGCGGUCUCCUUUUCGUCUCCAUCCCAGACUGACAUUAUUCAUUUGUUUACCGAUCAGACAACCCCGACUACCAUCUCCUCUCUCUCUCACAGACACACACGCACAACUCCUACCACUAAAAUGUGAAUGGAAAACGAGAUUUUGUUAUACCCAAACAAAAAAGGACUGGAGGGAGUGAUUUCUCUGACACGGACGCGACCUCUCAUAGCGCAGGCAUUGAACCGGCGCGCCGGCCAAGAGGGCCGCACUCGCUGCAGGCCCGGCUGAGCACGCCUCCUUGCCGCAUGCAACCAGCUUAAGACUGCCCCGCCUGCCUUCAUUGAUUCCGCGCGUAUGGCGGCAACACGUCCUCCCGCGAGCCGGCAGGCAUUUUAGAACACAAAAAUGACUAAAAUAUAAUUAAUUUACGCAUGGUCUUGACUUGUUGUGCUUGCACUGGUAGCAGGAACUAGUAGAGGAUUUUCUUUAUUUAUAACUCUCCUCACAUUUUUUUGGCUUUGAAGUGAAUCAUGGUUGUGGACAUUAUGUAUGAAUGUGCAGAUAUCUGUGAACAUGAGUUUGAUGUGGAAGUUGAACUUGGAAUGUCGGGCUUGCGCGUGAACUAUACCAUGUCCAAUGCUUCGUCUGUUAUUGUUUGGAAAGUAAUUGCUGUUAUUACAUGACCCGAAAAAAACAUUUUGUGCCACAUCAGUAGAUGCACGGACAUCACAACAGGCAUGCUGACUGGAUAAACAUUUGAACCUAGCUAUUAUGAAGGAAAUUUUGUAUUGACAACAAUUUUAGACAGGAGGAGACGCCUAGCCUUCUCUGCCUCUGCUAGCUUAUUUCUGGCUUCUUCCAUCUCUUCUUUGGCUUGGGUGAAGAGAGCAUCUGAUUGCUCUUUUCGCUUCUUUAGGAACUCAGCUACAUUCUCAAGGGCUGCUGCAUGCUUUCUUUCAGCCUUUACUAAUGCCACGAGGACACGAACAACUGACGACUCCACCUGGCUUGUGUGUAAUCCAGCAUCAUCUGGGAAUUUGCACCUUGUGUCUAAUCCAGCAUCAUUAGGGAACUGGCACCUUGUGUGUAAUCCAGCCCCAUUUUGGAAACAUGAUCUCGAGGUUGACCAUACUUCCCUCCUUGCAGGAACUGCAUCCUGAGAUGAAGUUACCUCCUUUUUAGAUCAAUACUCAGAGCAACCUAGAUCCAUUUAGUAGAAGCCAGAUAAACAGAACUCGGAGAAGUGAAUUCAAAAGGAAAAAAUAAAUAAAAACAGACUACAAGGUGAGAACACCCACUUCCUACAUCAAGCUAAAAACGAAAGCAUUAGGACAAUUAAGACUCUUCUUAUUACACAACGAAGAACACCACACUUAAGAGAAAUAGAAACUACAACAUAUACACAUCGAAGAACAUGAGGCUACACGAAAGUAAUUGAAAGGGUGUUACUUACCAAAGCUCGUUUUAUAGGUUCGGUGCAACUCCUCUUUAACUUGCCACACUCCUUGAAGAUGUCCCGAAUAUCCCGUGUUUGGUCUUCAUUGCUCCUCUGCAUGUUCGCACUCGUGGUUUUAAAAUCUCAACAUGGCAAGAAAAAUAUACUACUAGUAAUACUCGCGCAUCUUGUGGGCAACAUUAAAGCACUCGUCUGCCAUGUUACAGCAUCUCCAACAAGAUAAACUACUCAUACAAAUGCAUCUUCAUACGUGCAACGCAUGUGCAUUUUGCUAGUUCUAAAAACAUUUCCAUCAUUUGCCACACUACUGGUUGCAGAUGAAAAACCUACCCAAGCACAGCGCGAUACAGGAGCGACGCACAAUUACAAGCUGAUAUUCUGUUGGACAAUGGAGGCUAUAACCAAUUACUUUUAUGGGAACAAUAGCACCCAGGAAAUUUGAAGGGUAGGUAUGAACAAAAUUGGAACUACACAUGUACUGCUAAGUGAUUCAAUACACACAUUACCAAUCGAGGAGGAGAAUGAUGGUCGUGGCGGCCUCUGUGAGUCAUGGUCAGCAACGGGAGUCAGUUCAUUGUCCACAAUGGUGGUACUUCUACGCUUGGCGUCGGCUUCCGGGAAGCAGAUCCGAGACCGUGGAAGACGAUGCCGGGGAAGAGGCUCCGUGUACGACGAUGAUAACCCACAAGUAUAGGGGAUCGCAACAGUUUUCGAUAAGUAAGAGUGUCGAACCCAACGAGGAGCUAAAGGUAGAACAAAUAUUCCCUCAAGUUCUAUCGACCACCGAUACAACUCUACGCACGCUUGACGUUUGCUUUACCUAGAACAAGUAUGAGACUAGAAGUACUUUGUAGGUGUUGUUGGAUAGGUUUGCAAGAUAAUAAAGAGUACGUAAAUAAAAAGUAGGGGCUGUUUAGAUAAAGAAACAAUAAAGUAAAUAUAGCGAGUGUGGAAAAGUGGUGGUAGGUGUUGUGGAAUUGCCCCUAAGCAAUUGACUACUUUACUAGACCGAUAGCAAGUAUUAUGUGGGAGAGGCCACUGCUAGCAUGUCAUCCCUGACUUGGAAUUCUAUGCACUUAUAAUUGGAACUAUUAGCAAGCAUCCGCAACUACUAAUGUUCAUUAAGGUAAAACCCAACCAUAGCAUUAAGAUAUAUUGGUCCCCCUUCAAUCCCGUAUGCAUCAAUUUCUAUGCUAGGUUGAAGCUUCUGUCACUCUUGCCCUCCAAUACAUAGUCCUAUCAACAUACAACUAACCCUAGGGUGUGAUCCACGCGCGCAAUCAUAUGAUGGGCACCAAAGGACAGCAACAUAACCACAAGCAAAUUAGAUCAAUCAUAGCAAUUCAUCAACCACCGAUAGGACAACGAAAAUCUACUCAGACAUCAUAGGAUGGCAACACAUCAUUGGAUAAUAAUAUGAAGCAUAAAGCACCAUGUUCAAGUAGAGGGUACAGCGGGUUGCGGGAGAGUGGAGCGUUGUAGAUAGAGGGGGAAGGUGAUGGAGAUGUUGGUGAAGAUGGCGGAGGUGUUGGUGUAGAUCGCGGUGAUGAUGAUGAUGGCCACGGCAGCGUUCCGGCGCCACCGGAAGAGAGGGGGAGAGGGGCCCCCUUCUUCCUCUUUUUCCUUGACCUCCUCCCUAGAUGGGAGAAGGGUUUCCCCUCUGGUCCUUGGCCUCCAUGGCAUGGGAGGGGUGAGAGCCCCUCCGAGAUUGGAUCUAUCUCUCUGUUUCUCUCUGGUUCUGCGUUCUGUCCUGGCUCUGUUUCACCUUUUCGUGUAUAUAUGGAGAUCCGUAACUCCGAUUGGCCUGAAACCUUCGCUGUGAUUUUUUCCGAAUAUUAGCUUUCUUGCGGCAAAAGAAGAGCGUCAACCGCCUUACGGUGGGCUCACGAGGGUAGGGGGCGCCCCCCAGGGGGGCGCCCCCUGCCUCGUGACCACCUCGGGCACUGGUUCGUGUUGAUUUUCCUUCCGACUUUUCCAUAUUUUCCAAAAAUAAGCUCCAUCCGUUUUUAUCCCGUUUGGACUCCGUUUGAUAUGGAUAUUCUGCGACCAAAAACAUGCAACAGACAGGAACUGACACUGGGCACUGGAUCAAUAUGUUAGUCCCAAAAAUAAUAUAAAAAGUUGCCAAAAAGUAUAUGAAAGUUGAAUAAUAUUGGCAUGGAACAAUCAAAAAUUAUAGAUACGACGGAGACGUAUCGGCAUCCCCAAGCUUAAUUCCUGCUCGUCCUCGAGUAGGUAAAUGAUAAAAAAGAUAUUUUUUGAUGUGGAAUGCUACCUAGCAUAAUCUUGAUCAUAUGUCUAAUCAUGGCAUGAAUAUUAAGACAUGAGUGAUUCAAAGCAAUAGUCUAUCAUUUGACAUAAAAACAAUAAUACUUCAAGCCUAUUAAUAAAGCAAUCAUGUCUUUUCAAAAUAACAUGGCCAAAGAAAGUUAUCCCUACGAAAUCAUAUAGUCUGGCUAUGCUCCAUCUUCACCACACAAAAUAUUCACAUCAUGCACAACCCUGAUGACAAGCCAAGCAAUUGUUUCAUACUUUUGAUGUUCUCAAACCUUUUCAACUUUCACGCAAUACAUGAGCAUGAGCCAUGGACAUAUCACUAUAGGUGGAAUAGAAUAUGAUGGUGGAGAAGACAAAAAGGAGAAGAUAGUCUCACAUCAACUAGGUGUAUCAACGGGCUAUGGAGAUGCCCAUCAAUAGAUAUCAAUGUGAGUGAGUAGGGAUUGCCAUGCAACGGAUGCACUAGAGCUAUAAGUGUAUGAAAGCUCUAACUGAAACUAAGUGGGUGUGCAUCCAACUUGCUUGCUCAUGAAGACCUCGGGCAUUUGAGGAAGCCCAUCAUCGGAAUAUACAAGCCAAGUUCUAUAAUGGAAAUUCCCACUAGUAUAUGAAAGUGAUAACUCAAGAGACUCUCUAUAUGAAGAACAUGGUGCUACUUUGAAGCACAAGUGUGGAAAAAGGAUAGUAGCACUGCCCUUCUCUCUUUUUCUCUCAUUAUUUUAUUUUUUUUAUUUUUUUGGUGGGCUUCUUUGGCCUCUUUUUUAUUUGCGCUUCUUUGGCCUCUUUUAUUUUUUUGUAAAGUCCGGAGUCUCAUCCCGACUUGUGGGGGAAUCAUAGUCUCCAUCAUCCUUUCCUCACUGGGGCAAUGCUCUAAUAAUGAUGAUCAUCACACUUUUAUUUACUUACAACUCAAUAUUACAACUCGAUAUCUAGAACAAAGAUAUGACUCUAUAUGAAUGCCUCCGGCGGUGUACCGGGAUGUGCAAUGAUCUAGCGUAGCAAUGACAUCAAAUAAUGGACAAGCCAUGAAAACAUCAUGCUAGCUAUCUUACGAUCAUGCAAAGCAAUAUGACAAUGAAUGCUCAAGUCAUGUAUAUGAUGAUGAUGGAAGUUGGAUGGCAAUAUAUCUCGGAAUGGCUAUGGAAAUGCCAUGAUAGGUAGGUAUGGUGGCUGUUUUGAGGAGGAUAUAUGGUGGGUUUAAGGUACCGGCAAAAGUUGCGCGAUACUAGAGAGGCUAGCAAUGGUGGAAGGGUGAGAGUGCGUAUAAUCCAUGGACUCAACAUUAGUCAUAAAGAACUCAUAUACUUAUUGCAAAGAUCUAUUAGUCAUCGAAAAAAAGUACUACGCGCAUGCUCCUAGGGGGAUAGAUUGGUAGGAAAAGACCAUCGCUCGUCCCCGACCGCCACUCAUAAGGAAGACAAUCAAUAAAUACCUCAUGCUUCAACUUCGUUACAUAACGGUUCACCAUACGUGCAUGCUACGGGAAUCACAAACCUCAACACAAGUAUUUCUACAAUCCACAAUUACCCACUAGCAUGACUCUAAUAUUACCAUCUCUAUAUCGCAAAACUAUUGCAAGGAAUCAAACAUAUCAUAUUCAAUGAUCUACAAGUUUUAUGUAGGAUUUUAUGACUAACCAUGUGAAUGACCAAUUCCUGUCAUCUCUCUAAAUAGAUAUAAGUGAAGCAAGAGAGUUUAAUUCUUUCUACAAAAGCUAUGCCCGUGCUCUAACAAGUAUAAGUGAAGCAAAAGAGCAUUCUACAAAUGGCGGUUGUCUAUGUAAAGAGAAACAGGAAAUCCAAACUUCAAAUGAUAUAAGUGAAGCACAUGAAGCAUUCUAUAAAGCCAUACUCAAAAAAUAUAAGUGAAGUGCAAAUAGCAUUCUAUAAAUCAACCAAGGACUAUCUCAUACCAGCAUGGUGCAUAAAAAGAAAAAGAAAAACCUAAAUGCAAAAGACGCUCCAAGACUUGCACAUAUCGCAUGAACGAAACGAAUCCGAAAACAUACCGAUACUUGUUGAAGAAAGAGGGGAUGCCUCCCCAGCAUCCCCAAGCUUAGAUGCUUGAGUCUCCUUGAAUAUUUACUUGGGGUGCCUCGGGCAUCCCCAAGCUUGAGCUCUUUCCUCUCUUCCUUCUUCUCACAUCGAAACCUUCUCGAUCAUUGAACACUUCAUCCACACAAAACUUCAACAGAAAACUCGGUAAGAUCCGUUAGUAUAAUAAAGCAAAUCACUACUCUAGGUACUAUUGCAAACCAAUUCAUAUUUUGUUUUUGCAUUGUGUCUACUCUAAUAUAACUUUUUCAUGGUUUAAUCCACUGAUAUAAAUUGAUAGUUUCAUCAAAACAAGCAAACUAUGCAUCAAAAACAGAAUCUGUCUAAAACAGAACAGUCUGUAGAAAUCUGAACAUUAACCAUACUUCUGAUACUUGAAAAAUUCUACCAAAAUUAGGAAACAUAAAAAAUUUGGGUAGGAAGACAGUGCAAAAAGAAUCAGAACCAUUUGACGUUCCAGCUAAAAAUGUAAAAUCGCGCACUACAGUCAAAGUUUCUGUCCUGCACCGUACAAACCAUCAAGCAAAUGUAAACAUCCUAAAGGCAAACCUUGGCACAUUAUUUUUAUAAUACAAUGGAAUUGUACAAGGGGAUAAUUAUUUUUGUUGAAAAGUUUCUAUAAUUAAGUUUCACAAAGUUCCCAUGGGGAUGAACAAAGUUCAAGGACGUCCCCCAGUUUCACAAUGCUCGUCUCUCUCACUUUCACUUUUCUUUUUUGAAAAAGCUUUGGGUUCCCCUCUUUAUUUUUGUUGUUUUUAAACUAUAUGAAAGCACUCAACAUAAAUAAAUGACUCUCUAAACUUCUGGGUUGUCUCCCUAGCAGCGCUUUCUUUAAAGUCGUUAAGCUAGACAUAUAGUGCUCAAGUAGUGAAUCCACCCGGAUCCCAAGGUAUAUCAAAGCCAAUUUUAAUUAACAAUGAUUUGUAAUUUAGUAGUGAGCACAAAGAAACAUAUAUCAUGUAAUGACGAAGUCUAACUCUCUUCCUAUGCAUCAGCAUGUCAUAAAAGAACAAUACAUGCACACAUAGUAAAGGCCAACGCAUAGUAUAAACAGUUUCUUGCAAUUUUAUCAUGUUGGAGACAUAGAGAGGUGGAGAUAUAGUUCCUCUUUCAUAAUAAUUGCAAGUAGGAGCAGAAAACACAUGCAUAUUAUAUCUAUCAAAAUCAUCAUGUGCAACGGUAAAAGGAAACCCAUCAAUGUAAUCCUUAAUAAGUGCAAACUUCUCCGAGAUAGUGUAGUUGGGAGAAUUCAAAAAGAUAAUAGGACUAUCAUACAUGGGUGCAAUAGCAACAACUUCAUGUUUAACAUAAGAACUAUAGCAAGUUCAUCUCCAUAAGCAUCAUUCAUAUUGGCAUCUUGGCCACAAGCAUAGCAAGCAUGAUCAAAAAGGGAUAUUUCAAGAGAAUCAAAGGGAUCAUAACAGUCAUCAUAGCAAUCAUCCUUCGGUAAGCACGAAGGGGAAUUAAACAAUGUAUGAGUUGAAGAGUUACUCUCAUUAGAAGGUGGGCAUGGGUGAUCAAUCCGCUCUUCCUCCUUUUGUUCUUCGCUCUCCUCAUCAUCUUUUUCAUCCAAUGAGCUCACAGUUUCAUCAAUUUAUUCUUCCAUAGCUUCCUGCAAAAUAUUAAUCUCUUCUUGGACAGCGGAGACUUUCUCAAUAAAUGCAUUAAUAUAGUAAUAGUAUUCAUAAUUCUCAUAGCAAUAUUUGAGGAUAGCUAAAUUUUCAGAUCUAUAACAAGCAUCAUCAAUAUCAUCAAACUCUUUAAACAUAGAUUCAAUUUCAUAAGCACCCAUAAAAGCAACAAAUUCUUCUAUUUGUUCCACAUCAUAGUAAUCAUAAAUACCUCUAGCAUAAGAAGCCAAUGUUUCAUUAUCAUUAAAUUGCAUGAAAAGGGAAGGUGUGGAGAAUUCAUCCUAGAGCAACAAGUAUAAUCAUAUCUCAAGCAUAGACUCCAGGCAUACCAACACAACAUAAUAAAUUGAUCCCAUAAUAGUUUCUCUUUUUGUGUCAAGCGAUAAUCCCUAAAGUAUUCACGUUGAUCCAACGUGUCUCCCAUUAUAAAGUUGAAUGGGGUUUUCUAAGGAUUAUCAAAGUAGUACUUAAUAUCUUUCACAUAAUGAGAAUCGAGGGUUUUAGGAGUUACCCCAUCUCCAUGAGUAGCAAGUACACCUAAUUUCUUUGGUAUUUCGUGUUCCAUAUCCAUAGCUAAAGAUAAAGAACAACUAAGAACAACAAAUAAAAAUUACUUAGUGAUAAAGCAAACAAGCACACACGAGAAUAUUCACCCCACGCUAUUGCUCCCCGGCAACGGCGCCAGAAAAAAGUCUUGAUAACCCACAACUAUAGGGGAUCGCAACAGUUUUUGAUAAGUAAGAGUGUCGAACCCAACGAGGAGCUAAAGGUAGAACAAAUAUUCCCUCAAGUUCUAUCGACCACCGAUACAACUCUACACACGCUUGACGUUUGCUUUACCUAGAACAAGUAUGAGACUAGAAGUACUUUGUAGGUGUUGUUGGAUAGGUUUGCAAGAUAAUAAAGAGUACGUAAAUAAAAAGUAGGGGCUGUUUAGAUAAAGAAACAAUAAAGUAAAUAUAGCGAGUGUGGAAAAGUGGUGGUAGGUGUUGUGGAAUUGCCCCUAAGCAAUUGACUACUUUACUAGACCGAUAGCAAGUAUUAUGUGGGAGAGGCCACUGCUAGCAUGUCAUCCCUGACUUGGAAUUCUAUGCACUUAUAAUUGGAACUAUUAGCAAGCAUCCGCAACUACUAAUGUUCAUUAAGGUAAAACCCAACCAUAGCAUUAAGAUAUAUUGGUCCCCCUUCAAUCCCGUAUGCAUCAAUUUCUAUGCUAGGUUGAAGCUUCUGUCACUCUUGCCCUCCAAUACAUAGUCCUAUCAACAUACAACUAACCCUAGGGUGUGAUCCACGCGCGCAAUCAUAUGAUGGGCACCAAAGGACAGCAACAUAACCACAAGCAAAUUAGAUCAAUCAUAGCAAUUCAUCAACCACCAAUAGGACAACGAAAAUCUACUCAGACAUCAUAGGAUGGCAACACAUCAUUGGAUAAUAAUAUGAAGCAUAAAGCACCAUGUUCAAGUAGAGGGUACAGCGGGUUGCGGGAGAGUGGAGCGCUGUAGAUAGAGGGGGAAGGUGAUGGAGAUGUUGGUGAAGAUAGCGGAGGUGUUGGUGUAGUUCGCGGUGAUGAUGAUGAUGGCCACGGCAGCGUUCCGGCGCCACCGGAAGAGAGGGGGAGAGGGGCCCCCUUCUUCCUCUUCUUCCUUGACCUCCUCCCAAGAUGGGAGAAGGGUUUCCCCUCUGGUCCUUGGCCUCCAUGGCAUGGGAGGGGCGAGAGCCCCUCCGAGAUUGGAUCUAUCUCUUUGUUUCUCUCUGGUUCUGCGUUCUAUCCUGGUUCUGUUUCACCUUUUCGUGUAUAUAUGGAGAUCCGUAACUCCGAUUGGCCUGAAACCUUCACCAUGAUUUUUUCCGAAUAUUAGCUUUCUUGCGGCAAAAGAAGAGCGUCAACCGCCUUACGGUGGGCUCACGAGGGUAGGGGCGCGCCCUAGGGGGGGGCCCUGCCUCGUGACCACCUCGGGCACUGGUUCACGUUGAUUUUCCUUCCGAAUUUUCCAUAUUUUCCAAAAAUAAGCUCCGUCCGUUUUUAUCCCGUUUGGACUCCAUUUGAUAUGGAUAUUCUGCGAAACCAAAAACAUGCAACAGACAGGAACUGGCACUGGGCACUGGAUCAAUAUGUUAGUCCCAAAAAUAGUAUAAAAAGUUGCCAAAAAGUAUAUGAAAGUUGAAUAAUAUUGGCAUGGAACAAUCAAAAAUUAUAGAUACGAUGGAGACGUAUCAGACGACGACGGUGGACCGGCUCGAGUGCGGCGUACGAGGUCGUCAUGAGGCAGAUGCGCUGCGGUGGACGAGUGCGCCAAUGUAAAGGUGAGGAGCACGAAGGCUGCGGUGCCGUGGAGAAGUCUAUUUUGCGGUGGGGAUAGAAAUUGGGGAGUAUUCAGGUGUACUACUCUGGGUGUCGGGGUGGGGUUGGCUGGGUAGGAUGAACCUGAAGUUACGAAAACAACCCCCUACCAAGCUUCAUCCGUAGGCCUGUUCCGAAGGCUAUGAUGGUAACUUCCCACUGCUCGAAUCAGGGUCGCGGGAGAUUUUCCCGCCGACCUCAAAAUUUUGUGACACUGGACUCCCCGUGUGGCGUGUUAAGUGAUUCGGCUAAGCAACUAGCAAGUAGUAGUAGUAAACUCUGCAUAUUAGGUUUGACCGAAGUCAAACUUCCUAAAGUUUGACCAAGUUUAUAGAAAAAUAUAAACAUUUACCAUAACAAAUAUGUAUGAUGUGAAAGUACAUUCAAUAAUGAAUCUAAUGGUAUUUAUUUGUUAUUGUAUAUGUUAAUAUUUUUUGUUAUAAGCUUUCUGAGAGUUUACAAAACUUGACUUUGACCAAUGCUAAUACGCGGACUUAAAUAAAAACGGAGGGAGUACACAUUUGUUUUCUUAGUUUGUAGUGAACUAAUCAUUUGUUGAAAUUAUGAAAUAAAUAUAUUAGGAUAUUGACUUCGAAUGUAAUGGUCUAUACAAUUCAAUAGUUACAAUCAUUGUCGAAUCCCAAGAUGUAUACAAGGUCUAUAGUACUUCACAACAUGAUCAAACUCACAUAAUCCCAGUCAAAUGAGAAUCUAAAUGCAUUUCAUAGUUAUUACUUUGUAGGAUGCAACAAGAACAACCAUAACUCUACAUCAACCAUUAUAGAAGCAACAUUGUGACAUAUCCCAAUAUGUGAAUGAAACAUGCAGAGAGAGCUUUUGAAGAUGGAGCAAAUAGGGCGGGAAAGAUUGUAUGUAUGUGGACGAGAGAGUAGGAGACAAACCUAAUGCGACACACAGAAAGAGAGAGAAAGAGAGAGGAAGAAGUUAGGUCUGUGAGAAAGAUGCAUACAUGUAAUAUACAUGAGAUGCGUGUGCAUCUGGAUUCUGUAUACGUGGAAGGAGAAGAGACAACAUGUUUGAUGAGAGAGCAGGAAAAACAUGGACGAGAGGGGAAGGAUCUCGUGGGUUGAGGGAUUGACAAUUUUGUGCGGGGGAGAGAGGGAUUGGUAAUUUUGUGCAAGAGAGAGAGGAUGGGGGGAGGAGUCAGUCAGCCAUCGUCACAUCACCCUGCUUCCAAAUGACCCCGCAUUCUCUAGCGUGGUGUGGUCGCCGUCUUCGAUCUGCUCGUUGCCCUCUUUGAAGAUUGAGGUGUUGUGCAUGUUGGGGUGCAAAGAAGCACAAGCGAGAGUGGUCGCCGUAUAACCUUGGAUGGGGAUGAAUUGUGUGCUCGGGGGAGUGUGUGUGUGUGUGUGUUGUGCUGCGUGUGUCUAUGUGUGUGUGUGUGUGUGUGUCUCAGAUAUUGAGUGAAAACAAACCUAAGGAGAGAAAUGGGUAUUCACGAAGAGAUUGUGCGGGCCUUGAGGUGGGCAGGGGCCGGGUGAGGGUGUCAAAAUGUGCGCGUUGAUGCAUGUGUUGCAUGCGACCGUGCGAGGGACGGACGAAUCGAGAGAGAUGGUUGUUGUGUUACAGAUGCUCCUCUCUCUGUCUCUCUCUCUCCCUCUCUCUCUCUCUCUCACACACACAAGUAAACUAGAAGACCGUUCUCUCAUGUAUACACAACGUAUCGGCAUCUGUCUAUGUCUCACUCAUGCACGAUCAUUUGCACAUUCACACCUCUCUAUGUUUGUAUCACACGCACACCGUCUCCACAUUGCCCUUCCGCCACAACACACAUAUGGACACAUACACACGUUCUCUCUCAGUCACACACACAAAAUCAGUAUUAAAAAAUAGGGCGCACCUAAAAAGUCCAAAUCCAAACAAACACGAACUGGAGCUAAAUUCAAAUAUAUGGAAAUAUUGCAGCGUCAAGAACUUUCACACGAAAAAAAGUUGAGUAAUAUUCGACGAUUGUUUUCACACACACAAAAAGGUUCGGUGGAUGUCCUUCGAGCGCGACACGGUGAUGCACUGUUCGAUCGACCGCGCGGCCGCGGUUCACGCGCUUGCACAGGAUUCCGUAUCGUGGCCGUGGUACUAAGGCUGGUCACAAUGGGCAAGAACAUAAGCUAGUAACUAAUAAAAGUGCUGCCUAAGUCUAAUGUUUACGUGUACUAGUACGGUUUUCUUUUAAGUUUGACCAACCUUAUAUAUAAAACUAAAGUAAACUCCCACACGCGCACUCAUCAAUGUGCCGCCGCCGCCGUUGCGCAUGUCGGCGCCCGCCUGCUCCGGCCAACAAUUUCUCGCCCAUCACCGCCGUGUCGCCGCCAUCCCUAUGCCAUGAAGCCGAAGGCUCACCCGCUCACGUCAUCUGCAGUCCCUCCUCGCGAUGCCGCCGCGCUGCCAAGCACGCGAGCAGCUGGUGGAGCCGUGUCUAUGCACGCAGCGUAUGAAGAGGAGGACGAGCGCGUGCUCCAGCACGACGGCAAGGAGGAACUAGCGUGUCAUUGUCGUCUCCGCCCGUGUGGAGGAGGCGCGCAUGGUGGCUGUCGUGGCGGAAGCCGGCCGCGCGCGCGUCGAGCCCGCAAACCGGGUGCAGACGCGGAAUCUACCUUCGAGACCUUGAAUGCCACGUGGAUCCUGCAAUCUGAAGGAGCAAUUUGGGUCAGUCGACUCAUGUGAGCCGUUUGAUGCAACAUGGAUGGCUAGAAGGGCUUCUUCCACCUCUUCUGCUGUCUUCUUCCUUCGCUCCGUCGAACUUCUUUCACAAAUCAACUGACCCAAAUUAUACUACUAGUACGAAUGUAUUAAGUACAGUAGGAACACGAAGAUACGAGCAGUAGUACCAACUGCAAGAAGAACAAUAGUAAGACAUAGUACUAGUACUACUGUACAUACUAAAGAGUUCAAAUAACGAGAAAGAACAUAAACGUAGUUCUGCUGGGGCCUCAGCACAGCACACCCUUGAAAAUAAACUAAUAAGCAACUAGUCCGCUUGACACUGCAGUAGAACCAGCAUGAGCGACGGCACUGCCACCUACUUGGAGUCUGAGUCCACGUCCUCGACUUCGUCCUCAUCCCUCUUCCUCUUCCUCUUCGCCGACGCUUCUUUGCUUGAACCGGACACUAGGCUCUGCUUCUUCAUCCAACCCUUGUAGAUAUUUAAACAAAGGUAGGCAUCCAUUGCUACGUACAGGAUGUGAUCUUCAUCUAAUGUCUUCGACUCCCAUGCAUGAUGAAACUCAUGAUGAGGUCUUCAAUUUAGCGUACGAAGGAUCAAUCAUGGCUGCUGCCAGGGUCAGCAUUGAAGGUUGAGAGGAGGACACCAGGCUUGCCUUCUGGAGAUUGAAGGGCUGGCCUACAACGAGACCUAUCCGACGCAGGACGUCACUGUCGUUCUUAAAGCCUACAGUAAUGAAUUUCAGUCUUUUGUCCUUGAGGAAGUUCUUAAAAUCCUGGCACUCAACGUCGGCAUGGCAUAUGUGGUAGACCAAGCAAAUGUUAUGUACGCAAACCUGGAUCAAGGCGGGCUUCUUCCUCUCUUCGUCCUUUAGAUCCUUCUCUCGUCCCAGGACUGUGGUGUACUCAACAUCUAGCCCAGCGACCCACUCAUCCAUUGAACUGUUGAACGUGCGUAGGAAGCGAGCAAGCCAUGCUUUCACCAUCUCGGAUCCACGUGUGUAGAUGACGAUGAACUGAUCGCCGGUUAUGGCUCUAACCUGGUACUCAGCGGCGACCAUGGAGAUUUGGGAGGCCAUGGAUUUUCAAGGAGGGUUAGGAGAAGUUGAACUGUUGUACCCCGCAAAAAAAACUGGGAGCGAACUGAUGUGAAAGGACGGGACGAUUGGGAGCGAACUGUUGUAAGGUAGAAGACGGGGACGAGUAAGGCGUGCGAACGGCGUGGGGUUGCUGGCUUGCCCGGUGGAUAAACGGCUACAAGCCCCCAAAGAGUUCUCGAGAACUAUGUGGGACCCACUAGAUGUCAUGUCUACUAGAUCCAUAUCGUAGGCCUGACGGUAUAGCUUCUGCCUGUUCGCACGCCAUGCCGGCGCGUGGAUGUAACUUCACUUAAUUCCGUCAAAUGUCGCGCCUCCCAUGACCUUCGCCUCCCUCGCAUGGUCGCGCCCUUUGAGACUUUGACCGGCUAUAAAUGAGCAAUUUUUUUGCCUUUUUUUAGACAAGCAAUUUUUUUGCCUACUCCGCAUGCAUGAUACUCCCUCUGGUCCUUUUUACUCCCGUCAACCAUUUGCAAAGUGUUUGACCAAAUUUAUACUUUUUUUGAACACCACCUUAUAUUAAUUAACCAGCCACACUAGUACACUCAUUCGAUACAAUAUUCACCACACAGGGCGGUACGUUAUUUACAAGAAUACCAUCUAAUCUAUUGUCAAAGCUAUACUUAGCGAUUAAGUGUGCCACCUUAUUGGCCGAAUGGCUAAUCUUUGACAAUUGAAGAUUGUUAAUCAACUUCGAGAUGCUCAACGCUUUCAUCUUCAGGUCACGCAUAGCAGACAUGUCAACGCUUUGACAUGCAUCAAUGAAAUCCCACGACCAAAUUUAUACUAAAAAUAUCAAUAUCUACAAUACUCCCAAAACACUUAGGCGCGAUGCAUUAACUUCUACCUCAUUUCUUGUUUCUUGACAUAUCAACCAAUAGGAGAUGUGGGCGUGCAUGCUUUUAAUGACUUGAGACCACCAAACAUGACAUGGAGUGGUUAGUUCAUUGCAUGCAAUGAUAUUAAUUAGCAAAUAAACAUUAAGAUCUCUCGUUUUCCCCUCCUCCUUGGUCACAGUGCACAAUCUAAGAUGACUUGCUCACCUAGAUGGAGGGAGUACUGAUUAUAAUGAGUAUAAGAACUAUGUUUUAUAAUGAGUGUAAAAAUAUUGAUUUGACAUUGUGAAUGAUGACACAUUGUGGAAUAGUUUUUGAAGUCUGCAAAAGUACUCAACUAGUGCUGUCGUUCUCCACAAAAAAAUGUGUUUACCAAUGCAUGCAUGAACUCUAGUUACUCUAACCCCCCUCUCUUCUUUAAUUCUUUGCCACAUCAGCAUGUUUGCUAUUCCCGUGUGCAUGAUACCAGCUAAGAUACCACCAUUAUGGCCAGCCUUAAUCAUCGCAUGCAAUAAUUUAGUGCACCUUGAAAUAUGAACAUGUGUGGGGCGUGUUUGUUUUUAAUGACUUGAGACUAUACCUAGCCCGGCAUGCAAGAUGACUUAUUAUGCACCAUUCCCCAUACCUCCAGGAAGCCCAUUCGUCUCCAAUUUUUUUCCUCUCCAUGUGUGGAAACAAUAUGCCUGCCAAACUCUCCUUCUCCCUGCGGCGGUCCCACCACUCCACCCCGUGUGAAAAAAUCUGCAUGCAUGACUCUCCUCCCCCACGCUCGUCCAAUCCGUUGUGACCAGCAAUAUUUCCACCCCUUCGCUCCCCCGUAAUUUACUCCAACAAAUAUGCCCAUGUAGCUGUUACUUAACUGCAGGUGCAUUCGGUCACUGACAUAUGGGCCCAACAGGGGUCUGGCCCACAUGUCAGUGACGCAAUUGGACCGGCAGUUAAGUCAGUGCAGCUCAGUCCAUAUCUUACGUAGGUGUGCCAUUGCUCACUAUAAAUACUGUGCCUCCUACACGACAUCGCUAUCUCCUCCCCUCACGUUCAUGUUCAUCGCUAUCUCCUCCACCUCCCUCUCACGUCGACCACCAUGGCAUCGCCCCUCCCAAGCCCUAGGAGCCCCUCGCUGCACCGCGCAGAUGGUCACGCGUCGCCGUUCCGUUCCUCGCCACCACUAGUCGAGGAGGACGCGUCGGUGUUCCGCUCCUCGCCACUAUGCGACGUGUCACUGUUCCGUUCCUCGCCGCCACUAGUCGAGGAGGAUGUGUCGGCGUUCCGCUCCUUGCCGCGAUGCAUCGAGGUGGACGCGUCGGUGUUCCCAAUCUCGCCAGCACGUGCACCGGAGGACGUGUUGGCUCCCCGCUACGAGGAGAAUGCCGCGCCGCCCGCCGAGCCCCCCAGCCUUGAGGAGCUUUGGAAAGAAAUGGAUGUCGCCUUGUGGGAGGCUUUGCCUCCAGCAGAGCGCGCCAAAAAUAGAGGCAGAGAAGAAGGUCGAGGAAGAGAAGCGCACUGUGGAACAAGCUGCCUGGGAGGCCUAUGUCGCGUCCGAGAGAGUCAGGCAAUUGGCUCUUUGGAAGAAGGCUCGUGCGAGGGCCGUGAGGGUGGCGGAGGAUGCCCGUGCUGACGCCCUGAGUGUAGUCGGGCCCAAGCGCCUCAUCUACGCUUGGCGGUACGUGGACCGGGUGCAUGUUUCCAGCGAGGAGGAGUACCUGUUGGCGCCGGAUCACCACACCGGUGAGAUCGCGCUCGCCCGCCGACAAGCCGCCAAUCAGCACCUCGUGAGUUGCGAGGCUGAGGAAGAGGUGUUGUGUCGGCGCGCUGGGAAAUGGCCACGCACCAGGGCACUCAUGGCACGCCGCAAGUGCUCCUACGAGCGUCGUGGCUUUUAUGAGGAGUAUACUUUUUGUUUCGUAAGGCGAUCUCAUUAGUUUUGGGACGCAAAUGAUAAAUCCUGAACGUUCAUGAAUUUUUAGCGUCCUUAAUUAAGUAUGCAAAAGGGAAAGUUUGGAAACCUUGUGUAUUCGUACGCAUUUUGCAAGUACAUGCAUAUAUCACAAACUUUACUAUAUACUAUCGCACUACACGUCUCUCUCGAUAUAUGCUUGCAGACUGUGCUACUCCCUCCGUCCAGGUUAAUAAGUCAUCUUCGGUUGUGCACCGUGACCAAGAAGGAGGGAAGACUUAUACACCUAGACGGAGGGAGUACUACUAUUACUUAUGUACGUGCAAAUGCACGUUUUAACAUCACGAUGCGGUUUUUGUAGAAGUAGAAAAACAACACUAGUCAAGCUUGUGAAACGAUUCAAUGCAAAAGAAAUGCAAAAAUGCUUGUUUGAUUGUUUACUUUUAGCUUCCUUCUCUGUGGUUAUUUCUCUGUCGUACUUUGUAUGGAGUAUCUCACUGGUUGGAAAGGCAUGCAAAUUCCCAAACCGCUUCCUACACCCUGUAUCUCACUGGUUGCCAGCGUUGAUGUUGUCGCCCAUGUCGAGGAUGAGGUUGCCGAGGUCGGGGAAGAAGUUGUCGUUCGCGAAGUCGUCGCUGCCAGCAGUCGCACGAGUGCGCUCCCCAAAAACCUGAUCGCCCCUCUCCCGUACAGGAUCACGAGAGGCGGGGUUCCGGAGGCCUGCUGUCCCUUCUCCCGGUGCACACCAAAAGGAGGAAUGGAGAAGACUUGCUUGGCGGCGCAAUGAUCUGGAACGGUGGUGAGAAACUAUAUAGUGCGGGCCGGGUAGGUCGUGGGAGUAUAGCUCUGUCCUCGGCUCGGCUCAAUCCCGCAACCCACGGCGCGUCGUGACAAGGCCUGGCAUGGCGAGGCAAGCGAGGAGGAGGAGCGCACGUGUAGGUUUCCUCUUCUCAUGCUCAUACAAGUGGUAGAAGAGCUCACCUUAUAAAGGCCUACUAGCAAAAUUCCAACAUCGACCAGGCCGUCCAUGAAAUGGGAGUGGCUGUAGGGGACGUUGCGCCAGUUGAAUAUAUGAGCAAGUUACUAUGAGAUUUAAUCCGAAUAAGCACAAAAUAAAUCAUGACGGCUAUAACAGAGAUGAAACUAAUCAUGUGGACUAGCAUAGUAGUAGGAUACAGAGUAGAAACAUGAAUUCUACCACGAUUUCGAACAGGAAGGAUAGAAACACAUACGGUGCAAUGGGAGCAGCACCGUUGGCGUUGAGGUUGUCGCCCAUGUCCAAACACCACGUAGACACAGUCUUUGAGCACGGUUUUUAGUCGUUCCAUGCUCGGGCAUUGAAGUUUGUAACUAUUUUAGAUUAGAAUAUACUACUCCUCCGGUGCUAGUAGUAGAGCAGAGUCCUACUCUACUACUCUACUCAAGCAAGUUAGGGCAUAGCAUUGUAGGGAGUACCAGUACUGUGAUCACUCAAGCAAGUUGUCUGGCAUCGACAUGACCCUAUGCUGCUGGUAUGUGUCUCGUAAGUCAAGCGGCGUGCUGUAGUCAUCAUCACCUGUCCACUUCCCGCAGCACAUAUUCGCUUCUCCAUCUUUGUCCGCACAUAAUCUCGUCCAAUCUUCCAUCCCCGCUAAGGCGCCUCCCCCUUGUCCGAAACCCAAGCACUAACAAUGGCAGAACUGAGCAGCGUUCGCCAAAAGAGUGGCUGGAAUUCGCUCCCCACAGAGUUAAUCAAGCUCAUUGUUUCACGUGUGGACAAUCUCAGUACCAUGCCGCUCGCCGCGUCCUCGUCGGGGCUGUACCAUUUAUUCAAAGCCCUCAGGCCGGAGAUUUUUAAGCCAACUCCUUGCUUGCUGAUGCUGCCUGAUCUUCAGAAACGGCAUGUCACGCAGCAUAAAGAUCGUAGGGUGGCGAGCAUCAACCCCCUUGACUGUGAUCCGAUCCCCGUCAGCCUCAACUACAUUAACAGUAUGUACUGGGUCGGCAUGAACACGUCUUGGAUGGUGCUCGUCGACGGUCGCGGCAGCUGGAUGCUCGUGGAGGUCUACACCCGGCGAUUGAUCCCCCUUCCUUCGAUUAACACUACACUGCUUUGGCACCGCGGCCCAGAAUACUCGGAAUCUUACAGUUGCCAACAUGAUACCAAGUUUGAUUUGCUCAAGGUUGUAAUCUGCCAAGUGCCCACAAGAUCUGUGAAUUAUAAAGACUUCAGGCUAAUUGCGUUCUUCAACCGCGGUCUCGCCUAUCUGACAGGUCACUGCGGUAAGUGGAUAAAUCUACACGUCCAUCGCAGGAUCAUACAUCCUCCAUGGUUCUCUGAUGCCAUUGAACACAAGGGCUUCAUUUACGCUGUUGACUCCUUCUAUGGCUGGACGUAUUGCUGGCCUACUCCAGUCAUCGCUACAAACAACUAUUACAACAGUAUGUUACUUUCCUAUGAUAUCAUGAUGGCUUGCUUAUAUUACUGUCAACAUUUGCUGAAAAAAUAUUCAUGCUCAUAACAUGUUGUUCUUAAGAUUGACUAAACCAAGAGCCCUUUUUUAUCUGACUCCAACUUGAUAUGAUGUUGUAGGCCGCCUGGUGUCCCUACCCUUCCUAAUCCCAGAACCUUUCAAAGAAAAGCGUCAUGGCAGUUGCAGGUGGUUCCUGGCUCGAUCAGACGACGGCGAAAGAUUGAUGAUCGUUCGCACGUACCGGACGUUUUGUUUCGCGGAAUACAAUCACAGUCACUGCAAGGUCUUUGAGCAGGAUCCCAGCUUCUCUGGGCCUUCAGGAAUUUAUGACUGGAGGCUGGUAAGUAGCCUUGGUACACGCUCUCUGUUUGUCGGACUGAAUUAUUUGAUUAAUCAGGAGAUAACCGACGGCAAGGAUCAUGAUGGCAGCGCGGUUUCAUUCAUCAGGCAAAACUGUGUGUACACAUCGUACCAUGCGUCUCUGCAUGCACCAUACCCUGAUAUGUGCUGCCACGCUCUGCAGCCCAAAGUAGGAGAGAGGGUCGCAAGUAUCAGACUUCGACCUGCUGGCUGGAGUUUCCUCCGUCAGGCACCCAUCUGGUUCAAGCCGUCAGCCAAUCUCCACAGCUUAAUAAAUAGUAACGUCUAACUGAGCUAGUUAGUUAGAUGCGUACACUUGGUGUAGUAGGAUCUUUAUUUAGUUUGAUGCAUACACCUGUUCUUUUUUGGUAGCCCUUUUGUAAUGAUGGCUGAUGUUUGGUUUGGAAGAGAGAGAUGCGUCUUCACUCUUCUGGCCUGCUUACUGCUUCUAUUACAGCCCCAGCCCUGGUUACUGCUGCUGUUUUCAAUGUACAAUCAGUAGUAUAUUUUGUCUAUUGGUUGAAUAAAUGUGUUUUUAGAGCGACAAACACAAUGUUUUGGAAGUCGUUGCACGGUUCGAUCCUUUAGUGCCCUUUACCGUACAUAGCGCAUAGUAUUUAUCGUAUGGAACACAUUUUUUUUUGAAACUCGGAACACAUUUUCCACUUGUUGAUAACAUGCAGCCCACUAAUGAAGGCCAAAUAGAGAAGCCCAUAAUUAACUGGAAGGGAGGCUCUCACAUGAAUCCGGCCCAGGUACAUGCUCAUGGUCCCCUAAACAUAAAUAAGUAAAUAAAUAAAUAAAUAAAGCUAAAUGCUCAUGCACGAGUUCUUUGGGAAAAUAGGUAGCCCAAUAUUUCUUUUUGAAGAAUACCCAAGCUAGGCCUAUUUGUUUUCUCCGAAUUACUGGGCUGCAAAUCUUUUAAGAUGAGGAGGGAUGCAUUCCGGCCUGGCUUAAGAGUAUGGUCAAUGUUUGUUAAAAGUAAUAUCAAAAGGGGUUGAAAAUUCCAAAAAAUUUAUUGCAAAUGGGAUAUAAGUUUCUUUUUUUGUUUUUGUUCUUCACUGAUAUCUUAUACGUAUUUCAUUGGAUUUAACAUGACAUAGUACUAAUUUAUUUUUAAAUUUGUUUUAGUAUGGCUAUUAAUUUUUGGAUUAAGAAUAUUUCGUUCCCCAGCUAAAAAUUGCGAAUUUUCAAAAUUUCCCACAUAUUUAAUUAAUUUUUUGACCCUGGUACUGACCAGAAAAUGGUCAGCAAUUCUAAAAAUGAAAAACGGGCUGCAAUAAAUUCCAUAUGAAUUAGAAAAUGAGUAAAAAUUAUAAAAAUAAUAGCAAAUGGGUUGUACACGCCACAUAUUUCUAGGCUGACUUGUUUACGCAAGGCUUUGUCAGUGAACACACGAUUCUAGCAGCAGUUAGUGUUGGAUGUCCAUCCAACAGCCGACGUGCUUCUUCAAUCUCUGAUCUUCCUGCUCCAGCCGCCUAAACUAGCACCGGCGGGACUGCCUGCUCCCUCCUCUUGUGGCCCGCUGUGAUGCCGCGUAGGCUUCCCCGGCCCACCCUACUCCCUCCGCUGGCCUGGCCGCAAGCAAUCAAUUGCCUCCUUAUUACACGAAAAAAUGAUUCCUCCCACUGACAUCUGGGGCGCACCGGUUGGGAGGCUGACCUGUGGGCCUACUAAGUUGACGCGUACGCAGGGCUUGUCAACUUAGUCAACAAACGAUUCGCAGCAGUAACCGUUGGAUUUGGAUCGAACGGUCCUGCUGCUUCUUCAAUCGCUGCUCUUCUUGCACCAGCCGCCCAAACCAGCGCCGGGGAGACCUCCUGCUCUUGCCUCUAGUGGCCGGCUGUGCUGCCGAUGAGGCAUCAUCGCCCCCUACUACUCCCACCGCUAGCCAGGCCCUGCGGCAACGGCAGCCUCACACCGCAGGCAAACCAGUGAACCCUCGUACUCCUCUCUGCGUGGGCAUCCACUGCCGCGUCUUCCCCGCUCCGCGUCGUCCCCUUCCUAGGCCUUGUCUUCGUCCACCGCCUUGGUGCUCUCGGUGCAGCAUGGUCAACGUGGUCAACGACAUUCCAUCGGAAGAGUACUGUACGUGGAGAGGCUGACAGUUGGGUCCACGGCCGCAACCCAGUUUUUUGUGAUUUUCCAAGUAAGUCACUUUGUCAGGCCUGUUGGGCUGCAAAUAUUUCAAGAUGAGGAGAGCUUUCAUUCGGCUGGCCGAGAAAAUGGCCCAUCAGUAAUGAGAAAUGGGCUAUACAUUUUUAAAACACAUCAAACCGGCAAUUAGUUUCAAAUAUCUUUUUUUCAUUUCGAGAUUUGAAAUUACAUUAAUUUUUAUGUGUGGAGAAUUUGUUGGAUUUUAUAUUGAUAUACAUUUAUUUUUAAAAUCAGUUUGAAUGUGAGUCGAAAUUUCAGGAUUACAAACAGUUCGGACCGCACCGAAAUAUGCAAAAUUUCGUAUAAUUUUUUAACCGUGCCACAAUAUGGGCUAUAAUGCUAACAAAAAGAAUAUGGGCUCCAAGAAAACCUUAAUAAUUAGCAAAUGGGCUGUAAAUUAUUAUAAAUAAUGGCAGAUGGGUUGUAUGCUGUUUUCCACAGAUUUGAGGCUUUCCUAAAAAAAGGUUGACGCACAAGCAGUGACUGUUGGAUGGCCAUCCAACGGCUGUCGUGGUUCUUCAAUCUCUGCUCUUCCUGCUCCAGCUGCUCAAACAGGCGCCAGCGGGACUGCCUGCUCGCUCCUCCCCGCGACCGGCUCUGCUGCCGCACAGGCCUCACCGCCCCACCAUACUCCCAUCGCUGGCCUAGCCAUCCCUCUACUCACCCACACCUGCUGUUAUUCUCCGGCGACGACAGACGAACCAGUAAACCCUCGUACAGUCGUACUCCCCUCCACGUGGGAAACAACUGCCGAUUCUUUCCUACCUCCGUGUCGUUCCCUUCCUAGGCCUCGCCGUCGUCCACCGCCCUGGUGCUCUCGGUGCGGCCUGGUCAACGUGGUCAACGACCGACAUGCAUCCGAAGUGGACUUUAGGUGGAGAGGCCGACAGUUGGAUCCACGGCCGCACGCAAGGAAAUGACUCCUUAUUAUGCGCAAAAUAAUGAUUCCUCCACCUGACAUCAGGGACCCACCGAAAGGGCCUCUGUAUUUCGUGAAAAAAACGUUGCCGUCGCUGACAGCUCGGACCCACCGGCUAUAUCUUCGCACACAAGGAAGUGCCUCCUUAUUACGCACAAAAAAAUGAAUACUCCCCCUGUUAGCUGGGACCCAAUAUAGUGGCAGGCUGACUUGUGGGACUACUAAGUUGACUGGGACGGAGGGCUUUGUCAACUUAGUCAAUAUGCACGAUUCUAGCUCCAGUGACCGUACGAUGUCCAUCCAACGGCCGUAGUGCUUCUUCAACCUCUGGUGUUCUUGCUCCAGCCGCCCAAACCAGCGCCGGUCGUGCCUCGUGCUCCUGCCUCCCGUGGCCGGCUGCGAUGCGGCGGAGGCCUCACCGCCCCCUACUACUCCCACCGCUGGCCAGACCAUCCCUCUACUCACCCACACCCCCUAUUAUUCUGCGGCGACGGCAGCCUCACACCACAGCGAACCAGCGAACCUAGUACUCCUCUACGCAUGGGCAUCCACUACCGCAUCUUCCCCGGCUCCGUGUUAUCCCCUUCCUAGGCCUCACCGUCGUCCACCGCCCUGGUGCUCUCGGCACGGCAUGGUCAACGUGGUCAAGGAACGGCUUCCAUUGGACGUGGACUGUACAUGGAGAGGCUGACAGCUGGGUCCACGACCACAGCAAGGAAGUGCCUCCUUAUUACGUGCAAAAUAAUUAUUCCUCCACCUGACAGCGGGACCCACCGGACGGGCCACCGUAUUUCGCCCCCCUGAAUGCUGGGACCCACCAGCUACAUCUUCGCACGCAAGGAAGUGCCUGACAGUCGGGACCCACCUGGUCGAAGCGUGCGUAGCGUUGUCAUUCUGGUCGCGAAUGUGUACGUACAUAUAUGCUGGUCGAUGUAGAGGCGCACACGUGUCGUAGUAGAGGCGGCCAGGGUGCAAGAAAGAAAAUAUGGCCACGUAUGUGUACAUACGGGCGGGGUCUCGAAUGCCUACUCACGCAUACGUAUGGCCAGGGCUCGUGUACAUGGCUGGGUCGAAACGGAGAAACAUCAUCGUCGUCGUGUUCAUGGGGAGGCAACAGAAUGCGUCAUGUUCAUGGGGAGGCAACGGAAUGCGUCGUGUUCAUCGGGAGGCAACAGAAUGCGUUGUGUUCAUUGGGAGGGCUUGGACGGAACAGGCGAUGGAAACGAGGCCUGGCGUACUGCAGAACGGAGGAAACGACCUUGUGUUCGACCGGCCACGUUCGAAACGGGAUCCUGUUCAUCGGGAGGGGUGUGGCGUACCGCAAAACGGAGGAAACGGACCUCCUACGGUCGAAACGGGGGUCCUGUUAAUCGGGAGGGGUGUGGCGUACCGCAAAACGGAAGAAACGGACUUGUGUUGGAGCGCUACGAUCGAAACGGGGGUCCUGUUUAUCGGGAGGGGUGUGUGUUGGAAAUAUGCCCUAGAGGCAAUAAUAAAAGCAUUAUUAUUAUACUUCCUUGUUCAUGAUAAUUGUCUUUAUUCAUGCUAUAAUUGUGUUAUCCGGAAAUCAUAAUACAUGUGUGAAUAAUAGACACCAACAUGUCCCUAGUAAGCCUCUAGUUGACUAGCUCGUUGAUCAAUAGAUAGUCAUGGUUUCCUGACUAUGGACAUUGGAUGUCAUUGAUAGCGAGAUCAUAUCAUUAGGAGAAUGAUGUGAUGGACAAGACCCAAUCCUAAACAUAGCACAAGAUCGUAUAGUUCGUUUGCUAGAGUUUUCCAAUGUCAAGUAUCCUUUCCUUGGACCAUGAGAUCGUGUAACUCCCGGAUACCGUAGGAGUGCUUUGGGUGUACCAAACGUCACAACGUAACUGGGUGACUAUAAAGGUAUACUACGGGUAUCUCCGAAAGUGUCUGUUGGGUUGACAUGGAUCAAGACUGGGAUUUGUCACUCCGUAUGACGGAGAGGUAUCACUGGGCCCACUCGGUAAUGCAUCAUCAUUAUGAGCUCAAAGUGACCAAGUGUCUGGUCACGGGAUCAUGCAUUACGGUACGAGUAAAGUGACUUGCCGGUAACGAGAUUGAACGAGGUAUUGGGAUACCGACGAUCGAAUCUCGGGCAAGUAACAUACCGAUUGACAAAGGGAAUUGUAUACGGGGUUGCUUGAAUCCUCGACAUCACGGUUCAUCCGAUGAGAUCAUCAUGGAGUAUGUGGGAGCCAACAUGGGUAUCCAGAUCCCGCUGUUGGUUAUUGACCGGAGAGUCGUCUCGGUCAUGUCUACAUGUCUCCCGAACCCGUAGGGUCUACACACUUAAGGUUCGGUGACGCUAGGGUUGUAGGGAUAUGUAUAUGCAGUAACCCGAAUGUUGUUCGGAGUCCCGGAUGAGAUCCCGGACGUCACGAGGAGUUCCGGAAUGGUACGGAGGUAAAGAAUCAUAUAUAGGAAGUGCUGUUUCGGCCAUCGGGACAAGUUUCGGGGUCAUCGGUAUUGUACCGGGACCACCGGAAGGGUCCCGGGGGUCCACCGGGUGGGGCCACCUGUCCCGGGGGGCCACAUGGGCUGUAGGGGGUGCGCCUUGGCCUACAUGGGCGAAGGGCACCAGCCCCAAGAGGCCCAUGCGCCUAGGGUUUCAAGGAGGAAGAGUCCUAGGAGGGGAAGGCACCUCCUAGGUGCCUUGGGGAGGAGGGAUUCCUCCCCUUGGCCGCACCACCCUAGGAGAUUAGAUCUCCUAGGGCCGGCGCCCCCCCCUUGGCCCUCCUAUAUAUAGUGGGGAGAUGGAGGACUUCUUACCUUGAUCUUUGGUGCCUCCCUCUCUCUCUCCAACACAUCCUCCUCCUCCAUAGAGCUUGGCGAAGCCCUGCCGGAGUACUGCAGCUCCAUCAACACCACGCCGUCGUGCUGCUGCUGGAGCCAUCUUCCUCAACCUCUCCUUCCCCCUUGCUGGAUCAAGAAGAAGGAAACGUCGCUGCUCCGUACGUGUGUUGAACGCGGAGGUGCCGUCCGUUCGGUGCUAGGAUCUUCGGUGAUUCGAAUCACGUCGAGUACGACUCCCUCAUCCCCGUUCUUUGAACGCUUCCGCUCGCGAUCUACAAGGUACGUAGAUGCAUCCAAUCACUCGUUGCUAGAUGAACUCAUAGAUGGAUCUUGGUGAAACCGUAGGAAAAUUUUUGUUUUCUGCAACGUUCCCCAAUGGUGGCAUCAUGAGCUAGGUCUAUGCGUAGUUCUUCUUGCGCGAGUAGAACACAAUUUGUUGUGGGCGUAGAUGUUGUCAACUUUCUUGCCGCUACUAGUCUUAUCUUGCUUCAGCGGUAUUGUGGGAUGAAGCGGCCCGGACCAACCUUACACGUACACUUACGUGAGACUGGUUCCACCGACUAACAUGCACAGGUUGCAUAAGGUGGCUGGCGGGUGUCUGUCUCUCCCACUUUAGUUGGAGCGGAUUCGAUGAAAAGGGUCCUUAUGAAGGGUAAAUAGAAGUUGACAAAUCACGUUGUGGCUUUCACGUAGGGAAGAAAACGUUCUUGCUAGAACCCUAUUUCAGCCACGUAAAACUUGCAACAACAAUUAGAGGACGUCUAACUUGUUUUUGCAACAAGUGCUUUGUGAUAUGAUAUGGCCAAAGUUGUGAUGAAUGAUGAAAGAUCUAUAUGUGAUGUAUGAGAUGUUCAUGCUAUUGUAAUAGGAAUCACGACUUGCAUGUCGAUGAGUAUGACAACCGGCAGGAGCCAUAGGAGUUGUCUUUAUUUUUAUAUGACCUGCGUGUCAUUGAGAAAUGCCAUGUAAAUUACUUUACUUUAUUGCUAAACGCGUUAGCCAUAGUAGUAGAAGUAAUAGUUGGUGAGCAACUUCAUGGAGACACGAUGAUGGAGAUCAUGAUGAUGGAGAUCAUGGUGUCAAGCCGGUGACAAGAUGAUCAUGGAGCCCCAAGAUGGAGAUCAAAGGAGCUAUGUGAUAUUGGCCAUAUCAUGUCACUUUUAUUAUUUGAUUGCAUGUGAUGUUUAUCAUGUUUUUGCAUCUUGUUUACUUAGAACGACGGUAGUGAAUAAGAUGAUCCCUCAUAAUAAUUUCAAGAAAGUGUUCCCCCUAACUGUGCACCAUUGUGACAGUUCGUUGUUUCGAAGCACCACGUGAUGAUCGGGUGUUAGAUUCUAACGUUCACAUACAACGGGUGUAAGACAGAUUUACACAUGCAAACACUUAGGUUGACUUGACGAGCCUAGCAUGUACAGACAUGGCCUCGGAACACAGAAGACCGAAAGGUCGAGCAUGAGUCGUAUAGAAGAUACGAUCAACAUGAAGAUGUUCACCGAUGUUGACUAGUCCGUCUCACGUGAUGAUCGGACACAGCCUAGUUAACUCGGAUCAUGUUAUACUUAGAUGACAGGAGGGAUGUCUAUCUAAGUGGGAGUUCAUUGAAUAAUUUGAUUAGAUGAACUUAAUUAUCAUGAACUUAGUCUAAAAUAUUUACAAUAUGUCUUGUAGAUCAAAUGGCCAACUUAGUCCUCAACUUCAACGCGUUCCUAGAGAAAACCAAGUUGAAAGACGAUGGCAGCAACUAUACGGACUGGGUCCGGAACCUGAGGAUCAUCCUCAUAGCUGCCAAGAAAGAAUAUGUCCUACAAGCACCUCUAGGUGACGCUCCCGUCCCACAGAACCAAGACGUUAUGAAACGCUUGGCAGACACAUGUUGAUGACUACUCCCUUGUUCAGUGCGGCAUGCUUUACAGCCUAGAGCCGGGGCUCCAAAAGCGUUUUGAGAGACAUGGAGCAUAUGAGAUGUUCGAAGAGAUGAAAAUGGUUUUUCAAGCUCAUGCCCGGGUCGAGAGAUAUGAAGUCUCCGACAAAUUCUUCAGCUGUAAGAUGGAGGAAAAUAGUUCUGUCAGUGAGCACAUACUCACUAUGUCUGGGUUACAUAACCGCUUGACUCAGUUGGGAGUUAAUCUCCUGGAUGAUGCGGUCAUUGACAGAAUCCUCCAGUCGCUUCCACCAAGCUACAAGAGCUUUGUGAUGAACUUCAACAUGCAGGGGAUGGAAAAGACCAUUCCUAAGUUAUUUUCAAUGCUGAAAUCAGCGGAGGUAGUAGUCAAGAAAGAACAUCAAGUGUUGAUGGUGAAUAAAACCACUAAGUUCAAGAAAGGCCAGGGUAAAAAGAACUUCAAGAAGGACGGCAAGGGAGUUGCCGCGCCCGGCAAGCAAGCUAUCGCGAAGAAGCCAAAGAAUGGACCCAAGCCCGAGACUGAGUGCUUUUAUUGCAAGGGAAGUGGUCGCUGGAAGCGGAACUGCCCCAAAUACUUAGCGGACAAGAAGGCCGACAAAACAAAAGGUAUAUGUGAUAUACAUGUAAUUGAUGUGUACCUUACCAGUAAUCGUAGUAGCUCCUGGGUAUUUGAUACCGGUGCAGUUGCUCACAUUUGUAACUCAAAGUAGGAGCUGCGGAAUAAGCGGAGACUGGCAAAGGACGAGGUGACGAUGCGCGUCGGGAAUGGUUCCAAGGUCAAUGUGAUCGCCGUCGGCAUGAUACCUCUACAUUUACCUUCGGGAUUAGUUUUAAACCUUAAUAAUUGUUAUUUAGUGCCAGCUUUGAGCAUGAACAUUGUAUCGGGAUCUCGUUUAAUUCGAGAUGGCUACUCAUUUAAAUCCGAGAAUAAUGGUUGUUCUAUUUAUAUGAGAGAUAUGUUUUAUGGUCAUGCUCCGAUGGUGAAUGGUUUAUUCUUUAUGAAUCUCGAACGUAAUGCUACACAUGUUCAUAAUGUGAGUACCAAAAGAUGUAAGGUUGAUAAUGAUAGUCCCACAUACUUGUGGCACUGCCGCCUUGGUCACAUAGGUGUCAAACGCAUGAAGAAGCUCCAUGCAGAUGGACUUUUAGAGUCUCUUGAUUAUGAAUCAUUUGACACGUGCGAACCAUGCCUCAUGGGUAAAAUGACCAAGACUCCGUUCUCAGGAACAAUGGAGCGAGCAACCGACUUAUUGGAAAUCAUACAUACUGAUGUGUGCGGUCCAAUGAGUGUUGAGGCUCGCGGUGGCUAUCAUUAUGUUCUCACCCUCACUGAUGACUUGAGUAGAUAUGGGUAUAUCUAUUUAAUGAAACACAAGUCUGAGACCUUUGAAAAGUUCAAGGAAUUUCAGAGUGAGGUUGAGAAUCAACGUGACAGGAAAAUCAAGUUCCUAUGAUCAGAUCAUGGAGAAGAAUACUUGAGUCACAAAUUUGGCACACACUUAAGAAAAUGUGGAAUAGUUUCACAACUCACGCCGCCUGGAACACCUCAGCGUAAUGGUGUGUCCGAACAUCGUAAUCGCACUCUAUUAGAUAUGGUGCGAUCUAUGAUGUCUCUUACCGAUUUACCGCUAUCUUUUUGGGGCUAUGCUUUAGAGACUGCCGCAUUCACUUUAAAUAGGGCUCCGUCGAAAUCCGUUGAGACGACACCGUAUGAAUUAUGGUUUGGGAAGAAACCUAAGCUGUCGUUUCUAAAAGUUUGGGGAUGCGAUGCUUAUGUCAAGAAACUUCAACCUGAAAAGCUCGAACCCAAGUCGGAAAAAUGCGUCUUCAUAGGAUACCCUAAAGAAACUAUUGGGUAUACCUUCUACCUCAGAUCCGAAGGCAAGAUCUUUGUUGCCAAGAAUGGAUCCUUUCUAGAGAAAGAGUUUCUCUCGAAAGAAGUAAGUGGGAGGAAAGUAGAACUUGAUGAAGUAUUACCUCUUGAACCAGAAAAGGGCAUAACUCAAGAAAAUGUUCCUGAGGUGCCUGCACCGACUAGAGAGGAAGUUAAUGAUGAUGAUCAAGAUACUUCUGAUCAAGCUCCUGCUGAAAUUCGAAGGUCCACAAGGACACGUUCCGCACCAGAGUGGUACGGCAACCCUGUCUUGGAAAUCAUGUUGUUAGACAACGGUGAACCUUCGAACUAUGAAGAAGCGAUGGCGGGCCCGGAUUCCGACAAAUGGCUAGAAGCCAUGAAAUCCGAGAUAGGAUCCAUGUAUGAAAACGAAGUAUGGACUUUGACUGACUUGCCCGUUGAACGGCGAGCCAUAGAAAAUAAAUGGAUCUUUAAGAAGAAGACAGACGCGGAUGGUAAUGUGACCAUCUACAAAGCUCGGCUUGUCGCUAAGGGUUAUCGACAAGUUCAAGGGGUUGACUACGAUGAGACUUUCUCACCGGUAGCGAAGCUGAAGUCCGUCCGAAUCAUGUUAGCAAUUGCCACAUUCUAUGAUUAUGAGAUAUGGCAAAUGGACGUCAAAACGGCAUUCCUUAAUGGUUUCCUUAAGGAAGAAUUGUAUAUGAUGCAGUCGGAAGGUUUUGUCGAUCCUAAGAAUGCUGACAAGGUGUGCAAGCUCCAACGCUCGAUUUAUGGGCUGGUGCAAGCAUCUUGGAGUUGGAACAUUCGCUUUGAUGAGAUGAUCAAAGCGUUUGGGUUUACGCAGACUUAUGGAGAAGCCUGCGUUUACAAGAAAGUGAGUGGGAGCUCUGUAGCAUUUAUCAUACUAUAUGUAGAUGACAUACUUUUGAUGGGAAAUGAUAUAGAACUUUUGGACAGCAUUAAGGCCUACUUGAAUAAGAGUUUUUCAAUGAAGGACCUUGGAGAAGCUGCUUAUAUAUUAGGCAUCAAGAUCUAUAGAGAUAGAUCAAGACGCCUCAUAGGUCUUUCACAAAGCACAUACCUUGAUAAGAUAUUGAAGAAGUUCAAUAUGGAUCAGUCUAAGAAGGGGUUCUUGCCUGUGCUACAAGGUGUGAAAUUGAGCUCAGCUCAAUGUCCGACCACGGCAGAAGAUAUAGAAGAGAUGAGUGUCAUCCCCUAUGCCUCAGCCAUAGGUUCUAUUAUGUAUGCCAUGCUGUGUACCAGACCUGAUGUAAACCUUGCCGUAAGUUUGGUAGGAAGGUACCAAAGUAAUCCCGGCAAGGAACACUGGACAGCGGUCAAGAAUAUCCUGAAGUACCUGAAAAGGACUAAGGAAAUGUUUCUCGUUUAUGGAGGUGACGAAGAGCUCGUCGUAAAGGGUUACGUCGACACUAGCUUCGACACAGAUCUGGAUGACUCUAAGUCACAAACCGGAUACGUGUAUAUUUUGAAUGGUGGGGCAGUAAGUUGGUGCAGUUGCAAGCAGAGCGUUGUGGCAGGAUCUACAUGUGAAGCGGAGUACAUGGCAGCCUCGGAGGCAGCACAUGAAGCAAUUUGGGUGAAGGAGUUCAUCACCAACCUAGGAGUCAUACCCAAUGCGUCGGGGCCAAUCAAACUCUUCUGUGACAACACUGGAGCUAUUGCUCUUGCCAAGGAGCCCAGGUUUCACAAGAAGACAAGGCACAUCAAGCGUCGCUUCAACUCCAUUCGUGAAACUGUUCAAGAUGGAGACAUAGAUAUUUGUAAAGUACAGACGGACCUGAAUGUAGCAUAUCCGUUGACUAAACCUCUCCCUAGAGCAAAACAUGAUCAACACCAGAAUUCCAUGGGUGUUCGAUUCAUCACAAUGUAACUAGAUUAUUGACUCUAGUGCAAGUGGGAGACUGUUGGAAAUAUGCCCUAGAGGCAAUAAUAAAAGCAUUAUUAUUAUAUUUCCUUGUUCAUGAUAAUUGUCUUUAUUCAUGCUAUAAUUGUGUUAUCCGGAAAUCAUAAUACAUGUGUGAAUAAUAGACACCAACAUGUCCCUAGUAAGCCUCUAGUUGACUAGCUCAUUGAUCAACAGAAAGUCAUGGUUUCCUGACUAUGGACAUUGGAUGUCAUUGAUAGCGAGAUCAUAUCAUUAGGAGAAUGAUGUGAUGGACAAGACCCAAUCCUAAACAUAGCACAAGAUCGUAUAGUUCAUUUGCUAGAGUUUUCCAAUGUCAAGUAUCCUUUCCUUGGACCAUGAGAUCGUGUAACUCCCGGAUACCGUAGGAGUGCUUUGGGUGUACCAAACGUCACAACGUAACUAGGUGACUAUAAAGGUAUACUACGGGUAUCUCCGAAAGAGUCUGUUGGGUUGACAUGGAUCAAGACUGGGAUUUGUCACUCCGUAUGACGGAGAGGUAUCACUGGGCCCACUCGGUAAUGCAUCAUCAUUAUGAGCUCAAAGUGACCAAGUGUCUGGUCACGGGAUCAUGCAUUACGGUACGAGUAAAGUGACUUGCCGGUAACGAGAUUGAACGAGGUAUUGGGAUACCGACGAUCGAAUCUCGGGCAAGUAACAUACCGAUUGACAAAGGGAAUUGUAUACGGGGUUGCUUGAAUCCUCGACAUCACGGUUCAUCCGAUGAGAUCAUCGUGGAGUAUGUGGGAGCCAACAUGGGUAUCCAGAUCCCGCUGUUGGUUAUUGACCGGAGAGUCGUCUCGGUCAUGUCUACAUGUCUCCCGAACCCGUAGGGUCUACACACUUAAGGUUCAGUGACGCUAGGGUUGUAGGGAUAUGUAUAUGCAGUAACCCGAAUGUUGUUCGGAGUCCCGGAUGAGAUCCCGGACGUCACGAGGAGUUCCGGAAUGGUACGGAGGUAAAGAAUCAUAUAUAGGAAGUGCUGUUUCGGCCAUCGGGACAAGUUUCGGGGUCAUCGGUAUUGUACCGGGACCACCGGAAGGGUCCCGGGGGUCCACCGGGUGGGGCCACCUGUCCCGGGGGGCCACAUGGGCUGUAGGGGGUGCGCCUUGGCCUACAUGGGCGAAGGGCACCAGCCCCAAGAGGCCCAUGCGCCUAGGGUUUCAAGGAGGAAGAGUCCUAGGAGGGGAAGGCACCUCCUAGGUGCCUUGGGGAGGAGGGAUUCCUCCCCUUGGCCGCACCACCCUAGGAGAUUAGAUCUCCUAGGGCCGGCGCCCCCCCCCCUUGGCCCUCCUAUAUAUAGUGGGGAGAUGGAGGACUUCUUACCUUGAUCUUUGGUGCCUCCCUCUCUCUCUCCAACACAUCCUCCUCCUCCAUAGAGCUUGGCGAAGCCCUGCCGGAGUACUGCAGCUCCAUCAACACCACGCCGUCGUGCUGCUGCUGGAGCCAUCUUCCUCAACCUCUCCUUCCCCCUUGCUGGAUCAAGAAGAAGGAGACGUCGCUGCUCCGUACGUGUGUUGAACGCGGAGGUGCCGUCCGUUCGGUGCUAGGAUCUUCGGUGAUUCGAAUCACGUCGAGUACGACUCCCUCAUCCCCGUUCUUUGAACGCUUCCGCUCGCGAUCUACAAGGUACGUAGAUGCAUCCAAUCACUCGUUGCUAGAUGAACUCAUAGAUGGAUCUUGGUGAAACCGUAGGAAAAUUUUUGUUUUCUGCAACGUUCCCCAACAGUGUGGCGUACCGCAAAACGGGACUCCACGGGAUACUGUUCAUCUCCACCGUCGACCCCCUCCAGCCUCCACGAGCUACUGUUCAUCCACCGUCGACCUCCUCCAUCCUCCACCUAUGACUGUUCAUCCACGGGCUCUUGUUCAUCCAGCCUCCACCGCGCGCUACUCCACCGGCUACUGUUCAACCAACCCUCUCCACGGGCUCCUGUUCAACCACCCCUCCACGGGCUACUGUUCAUCCUGCCCUCCACGGGGUGGUCCUGUUCAUCCAGCCCUCCACGGGGUCCUAUUCAUCCAGCCCCAACUGGCUCGAUCGAUUGGGGUCCUGUUCAUCCAGAGGCAACACCACGGGGUCCUGUUCAUCCACCCCCACCGGGAACUGUUCAUCCAAACCCCCCGCAACGCUCACUGUUCAUCCAGAGGCAGCAUCGAUCGGCUUCAGUUAGCAGCAGUAGCGAAGGAAUCGCUCGAUCGGGUUCAGUUAACAGCCAUCGAUCGAUCGCUCGGGUUCAGUAACGCGUAGCCUACAGUGCAAUCGCUCGGGUUCAGUUAGAGCCCAACGCCUCGCUCGAGUUCAGGUAGAGCCAACGCCUCACACACACGCACGUACGUGUACGAGAGAAACGCGCAUCGCUCGACCCCCGACCUCCCACCGUAACCGGGAACUCCCCGAAAUUUUCCUCGCCCUCGCUUCUACCACAGUUUUUUCCGUCAUGGACGGCCCAAAGAAUGUCGUGCAGCUGCGUCUCCAGCCCGCCCAGGAUGAAAAGCCCAUUUUCGGUCAUGAUUUUUUGUCAUAGAAGUAGGAUCCCACCACAUCUAUGAUGAUACCAGGGUUUGUCACAAUUAUCGUCAUAGAAGUGUCAUAUGUAUGACAGAAAAAAAAUUCGUUCGGCCCAAAAUGUCACAGAUGUAUCUUUUUUUUGUAGUGUGUAUUCAAUGCAAUCGCCCUGUAAUUGCUUUACUUUAUCACUAAGUGGUAGCGAUAGUCGUAGAAGCAAUAGUUGGCGAGACGGCAACGAUGCUAUGAUGGAGAUCAAGGUGUCGCGCCGGUGACGAUGGUGAUCAUGACGGUGCUUCGGAGAUGGAGAUCACAAGCACAAGAUGAUGAUGGCCAUAUCAUAUCACUUAUAUUGAUUGCAUGUGAUGUUUAUCCUUUAUGCAUCUUAUUUUGCUUUGAUUGAUGGUAGCAUUAUAAGAUGAUCUCUCACUAAAUUUCAAGAUAAAAGUGUUCUCCCUGAGUAUGCACCGUUGCCAAAGUUCGUCGUGCCGAGACACCACGUGAUGAUCGGGUAUGAUAAGCUCUACAUCCAUCUACAACGGGUGCAAGCCAGUUUUGCACACGCAGAAUACUCGGGUUAAACUUGACGAGCCUAGCAUAUGCAGAUAUGGCCUCGGAGCACUGAGACCGAAAGGUCGAGCAUGAAUCAUAUAGUAGAUAUGAUCAACAUAAUGAUGUUCACCAUUGAAAACUACUCCAUUUCACGUGAUGAUCGCUUAUGGUUUAGUUGAUAUGGAUCACGUGAUCACUUAGAUGAUUAGAGGGAUGUCUAUCUAAGUGGGAGUUCUUAAAUAAUAUGAUUAAAUUGAACUUUAAUCUAUCAUGAACUUAGUUCUGAUAGUAUUUUGCAAAUAAUGUUGUAGAUCAAUAGCUCGCGUUGUUGCUUCCCUAUGUUUUAUAUAUGUUCCUAGAGAAAACUAAGUUGAAACAUGAUAGUAGCAAUGAUGCGGACCAGGUUCGUGAUCUGAGGUUUAUCCUCAUUGCUGCACAGAAGAAUUAUGUCCUUGAUGCACCGCUAGGUGACAAACCUAUUGCAGGAGCAAAUGUAGAUGUUAUGAACAUUUGGCUAGCUCAAUAUGAUGACUACUUGAUAGUUUAGUGAACCAUGCUUAACGGCUUAGAAUCGGGACUUCAAAGACGUUUUGAAUGUCAUGGACCAUAUGAGAUGUUCCAGGAGUUGAAGUUAAUAUUUCAAGUUGUCGGAUGUGGGGUUCCGACAAACCCUUAAGGUUCGAACACUUGGGUGCGCGCGAAGUCUUUCCUUCCCACCAAUCUACGCCCUAGCUAGCUAAGAUCUCGCGGACGAACUCGACGAACUCGCAACACAGAAAGACACAAUAUUUAUACUAGUUCGGGCCACCAUUAUGGUGUAAUACCCUACUCUAGUGUGGUGGUGGUGGAUUGCCUCUAGGGCUAAUGAUGAAUAGUACAAGGGAAGAAUAGCCUCCUGAGGUUGAGGUGUUCUUGAGCUCGGUGAGCUUGUGUGUGUGAGGAUGGUCUGAAUGAUCCAUCCCUUGCUAGGGUGGUGGCUAGUCCUAUUUAUAUUGGCCCUGGUCCUCUUCCCAAAUAUGAAGCGGGAAGGGAGCCAACAAUGGCGGGCCAAUUUGAAGGGGGCCAGGUAGUACAAGCUGUCCAGACAAAAGUGGUCUUCGCCUGUGAAAAGCUCUAUGGUGACGCCGUCUUGGGGUCCACGAUGACCUCUGUCUUGCCGUCAUCCUGGUCUUGGUCUUGUUGCACCAAUAUAGCAACCUUUGCCUGAUGCCUCGGUACUCUUCGCCUGCGCUGGCCUCCUUUGCACCAAAGAGGAAACAAGGACGCUGCGCGCCCUGGCGCCCACCUGGUGUCGUGCGUCAUGGCUCACGUCACGAGGGCCUCAUGAGGUUUGCCCCGCCUUGAUAUCUCCGCUCCUCGUGAGCCUGCCUAGCUAGGCUACUCCCGAGGAGGUCUUGCGUCGUCCGCCUCGCGAGGCUUGGACCCUCACGAGGGUCUUGGAUGCUUUGUUGGUGAAGAUGGGCCGUACGGCCUGCAGGCUCAGCCACGCCGCGGGCCGUAGGCAGGCAAGUCUGGGGACCCCCGUUCCCAGGACGCCGACGGUAGCCCCCGGGCCCAAGGUGCGCUCGGGCUUGGCUUCGCGGCAAAGCCAAGGGCCAAGUUCGGAGCACCGCAGGCCCCAAAAGCCUGCGGCCUUGAUUAACGCGUGGUGGAUGAUUGGACAUGGGCGUCUCCGCUUCCCCAUGCUGCCCUUGAAUCCGCCUGGCUACGCGGCCCCGCCUCUUACACAGUUAUUCUUCUUCCGCCACGCCCGACUCUUCCAAUCUCCAUGCUGCCUCGAUGCCCUGCUCCACUUUAUCAGUCCGACCUGUGCUCCACCCGCUUCACCGCCAUGGCGCCGAGGCAAGCCGAAAAGGGGAAGAAACCCUUGUCCUCACCAACUGCGCCUCCAUCCUUCGAGCCGGCGCUCGGCCGGCCUCGGGUGCUCGACGACGAGGCCAUGGACAAGGUGCGCCCCAUGCUUGCCUCCAGUUUCAAUGAGUGGGGAGAGACGCCGGCUUGACCCGCGUCUCGCACCAGCAUGGCUCGGGCAGUUACCGAGGUUCCGAUCUUCAUUGAUGCCCUUUGGGCUGGCCUGAUUCCUCCCUUCUCCGCCUUGUUCAACGCGGUGCUCGAGCACUAUCAGAUCCACAUGCUCCAUCUCGAUCCUCGGGCUGUGUCCCUUCUUGCCGUCUUUGCCUUCAUGUGCGAGGCCAUGGUGGGCAUCGCCCCCUCCGUGGCACUCCUCCGCCACUUCUUCUCGUUGCAUCUCACCGGUCCUCGGCAGAGCUUAGGGUGUGUGGGCUUCUAGGCCGUGGCUGCGACAGCAGGCAUGGGGAUCGACUUCGAGCUCCCUUCAUCCACGAGCGAGUUCUGUACGCGAUGGGUGUUUGUUGACGCCGGCGUGCUCAACCCUCUGCUCCAAGCUCCGGUGGGGCCUACUAUUCCAAACUCCGGCUGGGGUCAUCAGAAGCUCAUGAGCCCCUGCCUUGCCCCCGUCUGGGCCAGGCUGAGGUGGUUGAAGGACCUUGGCGUGACUGCGCCCAUGGUGGUGAGGGAGUUCGUCAGGCGUCGAGUUGCUCCACUCCAGCGCCAUUAUCGCCUGAUAUGGGACUUGCUCAGCAGACGGGACAACAUGAGGUUUCAGGAGGAGGGGCUUCCUCUCACUGCGCGGCAAACAGUACUCACGGUCCUGUCAGGUGCCCCUCUGCCAGACGAGAUGCCCAGGAACAGCUGCAUGUUGUACCGCUGCGAGAACACAGCCACAUUUGUCGCGAACAUGCCUUCCUUUGAUGAGUUGGGGCUGCGCCCAGUCGGCUUGGUGGGGCCUCGCGAGAACCCCUUCAUCGCGGUCCCCUUCUUCUCCACCGGUGCCGGGCUCGCCCCAAGUGACGGUGCAGGGGAGUGAGCUACGACGGAGGCCGGCGGCUCAGGUGCUGAGGAGCACACGCCGGGUGGUGAUCCUGAGGCAUCGUCCUCGGGGGCCUGCGACCCCCUCCUGAGGCGUCGGUUGCCGAGGAGACGCGGCAUGCGGCUCCGGAGGCUGGGGCUCCAAGACCCUCGGAAGGUCACAGUGGGGAGGACCCGGGCUAUUCGCCUCAGCCGGGCUCCCCAGAGGCCACCCAUCUUGAGUCUUCUCCGGCUCCGCCGCGCACCGACCGUCACGUCCAGCGCUUCGGUUGCCUUUGUGUGGACUUCGAGGAGCUCCGUAAGAGGAAGGGAUCCCCCAGCGGCAGCAAGAUCUUCGGGCCGUUGAAGCGACAGAAGUACAUCGCUAUUGACGCGUAAGUAUCUCGUCACCGUGGCUUUUUGCGUGUGGUCUUAUUAUCCUGACGGCUCUCCUCCAGGGCUCCUUCUGCUGAAGCUGCUGCGUCUCCCGAGAGGCGGCCUCCUCCUUCAUCAAUUCCCCCGUCGGCAUUGAGCGUUGCUGGCCUGCUUGCCGCCCCUGGAGCACGAUCGGUCGGAGAAGCGUCCCCGCCUCCGGGACGUGCUGAGUAUGUGGUUUGGCCGCCCCUCGCCCACGGUCUGGCGUGGAGCUCGGCGGGCGUGCCCAAGGCUCCUCCUCUGCUCAUGAGCAGUCGCUGGCUGAGCUCGGUCUUUGGUUCCUCUUCAAGCAGCGAGCCUCGUUCAGUUUUGUCUCCUCUCAAGGAUGGGCUGACGUCAGGAACGGUGCCAGCCCCCAGCCCCCAACCGGGAGAUGGUGCGCCACUUGAUGCUCCACAUGCAGCCCCCGGGGUGGAGGUCGAGGCGCGUCGAGCGUUCGAGCUCGAGCGAGGGUGCAACAUAGUCUGCCACGAGCUCUUCCAGGAGGCGAUGGGCGCGAUGAGCCACCUUGGCGAAGAGCUUGCGGGUGUCGACUUACGUCUUGAGGUUGAAGGUCUUCGGUUGGUGGAGGAGCGGCGCAAGCUGCGAGUGGCCAUCAACCUCGGUCGCUAUCAGCGCGACCUCGAGAACGCGAAUGCCGAGGUGUCCCUCAAGAUUGCCAAUGAGGCCUGCUCGCGAGCUUUGGAAGAAGCUCACGAGGCCGAUCGUCACCGCGAGGCUGCGGAGGAGUGCGUGUGGGGGCUUCAGGCCUAGAGUGCGUCCCUUGAGCACCAGGUGGAGGCACGCGAGGCCGCUCUUGCAUCGCUGAGGGGGACGCCUGCGGAGGAAGAGGAGGUCCGGCAACGCGAGGAGGCGUUAGCCCUGGAAGCCGUGGAGCGCAGCCUCGAGAUCGAGCAACUGGAGACGAGGGAGCAUCAAGUCGCUCAAGCAGAAGAUGCCGUCGGGGCCCGCGAGGCUGGAGUCGAGGAGGAGAUCAAUAGCCAGGUGGCUGAUGUCUACUACACAACCUUCUUCUGGUAGACGUUGUUGGGCCUUCAAGUGCAGAGGUUUGUAGGACAGUAGCAAAUUUCCCUCAAGUGAUGACCUAAGGUUUAUCAAUCCAUAGGAGGCAUAUGAUGAAGAUGGUCUCUCUCUCAAGCAACCCUGCAACCAAAUAACAAAGAGUCUCUUGUGUCCCCAACACACCCAAUACAAUGGUAACUCGUAUAGGUGCACUAGUUCCGCGAAGAGAUGGUGAUACAAGUGGUAUAUGGAUAGUAGAUAAAGGUUUUUGUAAUCUGAAAAUAUAAAAAAACAGCAAGGUAACUAAUGAUAAAAGUGAGCACAAACAGUAUUGCAAUGCGUUGAAACAAGGCCUAGGGUUCAUACUUUCACUAGUGCAAGUCCUCUCAACAAUAAUAACAUAACCGGAUCAUAAAACUACCCCUCAACAUGCAACAAAGAGUCACUCCAAAGUCACUAAUAGCGGAGAACAAACAAAAAGAUUAUGGUAGGGUACGAAACCACCUCAAAGUUAUUCUUUCCAAUCAAUCCAUUGGGCUAUUCCUAAAAGUUUCACAAACAGCCCUAGAGUUUGUACUUGAAUAACACCUUAAGACACAAGUCAACCAAAACCCUAAUGUCACCUAGAUACUCCAAUGUUACCUCAAGUAUCCGUGGGUAUGAUUAUACGAUAUGCAUCACACAAUCUCAGAUUCAUCUAUUCAACCAACACAUAGAACCUCAAAGAGUGCCCCAAAGUUUCUACCAGAGAAUCACGACGAAAACGUGUGCCAACCCCUAUGCAUAGGUUCAUGGGCGGAACCCGCAAGUUGAUCACCAAAACAUACAUCAAGUGGAUCAACAGAAUACCCCAUUGUCACCACGGGUAUCCCACGCAAGACAUACAUCAAGUGUUCUCAAAUCCUUAAAGACUCAAUCCGAUAAGAUAACUUCAAAGGGAAAACUCAAUCCAUUACAAGAGAGUAGAGGGGGGAGAAAACAUCAUAAGAUCCAACUACAAUAGUAAAGCUCGCGAUACAUCAAGAUUGUACCACCUCAAGAACACGAGAGAGAGAGAGAGAUCAAACACAUAGCUACUGGUACAUACCCUCAGCCCCGGGGGUGGACUACUCCCUCCUCAUCAUGGAGAGCAUCGGGAUGAUGAAGAUGGCUACCGGAGAGGGGUUCCCCCUCCGGCAGGGUGCCGGAACGGGUCUAGACUGGUUUCCAGUGGCGACGGAGGCUUCUACGGGGGAACUCCCGAUCUAUUGUGCUCCCCGAUCGUUUUAGGGUAUAUGGAGAUAUAUAGGUGGAAGAAGUACGUCAGGGGAGCCAUGAGGGGCCCACGAGUGUGGAGGGCGCACCCAGGGGGGGUGGGCGCGCCCCCUACCUCGUGGCUUCCUCGAAGCUUCCUUGACGUGGACUCCAAGUCUCCCAGUGUAACAUCCCAAAUUUUCAUUUGGAAUGUUAUACAUAGAUCAUUCUUGCAUAUCAUAUUUUAUUGCAUUUCGUCUCGCGAUCCUCGAAAUCCUAAGCAACUCAAGGACCCUCGAAGAGACUUGGGGAUUUCCCCAGUUUUCAAAUUUGAUUCCUAUCAAAUUUUAGAACGAGGAUUUUUGGUUUUAAUUAUUUUUCUCUCUGAAAAUAUUUCAUAUUAAAAUAUAUGAGAGGAGAUAAUAUGACUUCUCCAAAAUAAAUGAAAUAUGGGAGGAAAAAUAUUAAAAUCAAAUAUUUGUUUUAUUUGGAUUUUAUUGCAAUUUGUUUGCAUUACAAAAAUUGGAUGUUUUUCAAAAUUGCAUUUUAGGGCAAAGAAAAUGUUCAUCUCGUUCUAAAUAUUUUAUUUUGACGGUGAAAAUUUGUUUUGGCAUUUAUAGAUCUUUAUUUUAUUUUCUAGGAUUUUUUUCUGUUCAGUAGAAUUAUUUAAAAAAAAGAUCCCCGGGCACCGACUGGACCGAAACCCCAGCCGGGCCGGCCCACUCCCUCCCCCGUGCCGUCUCUCUCCUGGAGACCGGCUGCGCCACCGACUCGGAGGUGUCCGAGCCGGACUCGCCUCCCCGCCGCCCUUGCCCCCUCCCCAAGUUAGCCCCCUCCUUUAAAUACCCAGCCACCCCACAGCCGCCACCACCCACCGCCGCCCGCAGCCGCACCUCGCCGCCGCCGCUGCCGCGCCUCGCACCACCGCCGCUCCCGUGACUCGCUGGGCCGACGAGGUAGCCGUUCGCCACGGUUUUUUUAAGAAAUCCGAUUCGGUUUUUUAAAGAAAAACCCUAGUCCGUUUUUUUAGAUCGGUUCGCCGGUUUUUUCCAGUUCUUCUCUUUAAUGGACGUUCGCCCAUACGUUCAUUUUAACAAAAGGUUUUCGCUCGUUAGUUUCAGUCAACGAACGCUCGUUCGUUAGCCUAUUCGUCAGUUUUCUUUUAUCGGACUUUUUCCGCGAUUAUUUCUGAUCGCGAUUUCUGAUCUGAUCUUCGUUCUAGUUUAUAUUUUCGCUCGUUUGUUGGAAUCAGGCGAUUCAAGCACCUAGAUCUUCAUCUCGAGACCCUCUUUCUGUUUAAUCAACUUGAACAAGCUUUUGCUACUAUAAAAUUUGACCUAGGUCCCGAUUAGUAAACGGAUCUAGUUUCUUUCGCCGUUUGAGUUUCGUUGCUCCGUUUGAUUUGAUUCUUUUUGCUAACCGGAGUUCUUAAGUUGAACUUUCUGGUAGAUCUUCUUAUUUGUGUUUUACCCGUGCUUCUUUGCUUUAUUGCUUAUGUAUGCUAUUGUUUGUUUUGCGAUAGAAUUCCCGGAGUGCGAAGCGUGUUAUUUGGAGUCCCUAGGUUUCGCGGAUCGUCAGCAAGGCAAGUAACACUUUGAUCAUAUCCCUUUAUCACCCAGUUUUUAUGCAUUAGUUCCAAUCCUCAAACAUUGCAUGGUUAGGAUGUCAUUAACUUGUGGGUUGGGAAGUAGUUGAUGAGAUAGAACCUAUUGCUCUGUUAUAUUCAAACCUUGGGAGUUACUUAUACGAAUUGCUUAUACUGCUAUGCUAUGCUCAUAGACGUGGUUUGGGUGAGUGAAAUCCAUGACAGAUGUGAGAUUGUUAAAUAAUGGUUUAACUUAAGGUGGCAACUUGAAGACACAUCUGGGUGGAUUGAGGCACCUGGAGUACCCGGUGUUGCCUAUAUUUUUGGAGAUCCCGGGGUUCCGUGUGAUUUUCCUAUGGACCGCCACCCAGGCUCAAAGGGAACUAAGAUGAUUCAUGCUAGAAACUUCCGUGUGCAGCCACAAGCUAUUAUGGGCUCUAGCAUAGUUGAGUAAGUUACGUGAAGCUCUUGAAGAGGUGGAUCAGCAGGUAGUGGGUUGUAGGUUUGGUAUGGUCUGCCCGGAGUAGAGAGUUAAUGUUUCUGAAUGACUGUGUCUCAGUCAUCCGUUUCUCAAACAUCAUGUAGUGCGAGAAAUCCAACGGAGGAGAUCGAGUCUUGUGGGGAAAAGUGUGCAAACCUCUGUCGAGUGUACAAUCUAAUCAUGGUUAGCCGUGUCCCCAGUUAUGGACAUCUUGAGUAUCUAGUACUUGGAGUAUCUUAAAUAUCUCAUCACUUUUAACUUAAUAUUGUUGGGUUGAUAAUUACUUUAAUUGGGAUUGAGUUGGAGUAACCUUCUCAAUGAUGUUUCAACUACCAUGAUAGUUAAAUUAAAAUCUAUUCCUUUACUGUAGGAAAAAAUUGGCUUUUCGCAAAAACUGUAACCAUAGAGCUUUCCACCAGCCAAAUAUGCAUGUAGUGAUAUCAUUAUUCUGUUCUUUCUCUACUGUGUUACUUUGCCAGCAUAUUCCAUGUGCUGACCCGUUUUCGGGCUGCAACGUAUUAUGUUGCAGACUUUUCAGAUGAGGAGUAAGGUUCGUUAGGUCGUUGUCGUGCAGCUCAGCUAUGUCGUUGGAGUUGAUGGACUCACUUUAUCUUCCAAGCCUUCUGCUGUUAUCGUAUUAGAUGGCCUUAAGCCAUAUUUAUUGUAAUGAGUUCUAUUUGGAGACAUUCAAUGUAAUAAGUGUGUGAUUGCUACUCUGUUAUAAAUCCUCGAGUACUGUGUGUGUCAGCAUUACCGAUCCAGGGAUGACACUGAAGCACAGAGACUUGACUGUUUGAGGUCGGGUCGCUACAAGAUGGUAUCAGAGCACACACUGAGUGUAGGACACGACCACUAAGCUAAAACCAUAGAUCACUAUUCUCUUCUCAUUUCUGACUCCUCUCCUUUUUCUACUCUUUAGGAUGGCGGAUGCAAGGAACAAGUUUGCACAACCGGAUGAAGAAGCACCUUUUGGACGACACUUGAAGGAAGUCACUAAGUACCUGAACAUAGGAAUACCAAGCUUCACUGGGACUUACAACGCCACUUUACCAGAAGAGGAGCGAUGGAUGAUUCAAGUUCAAGUUCUAGGAAGGUCCUUCAUGCCAGUCACUAAGCCCAUAGAGUUUUCCUUUGAUGCACCAACCUGGAGUCUAGGAAAGAGUAUGGCAGCUCACAUCACUAUGGGACGCAUUGGAGAAGUUUACCAAAAGGAUCUUAAGGAUACUAUCUAUCGGAUUUGUGGGUGCCGAGAAGAGCAAUGGAAUAUGAUCAGCACCAGGAAGGAUAGAUCAAUUGCAGCUUUCAUCUAGGAACUAAACCAACACAUUCGAUGCCAGGAGAACCAGAUGUGUGCAGGCAUGAUAGAUCUGAAGAAGGCAAUGACUAGGAUCACGGAACUGGAGGAAGAACUCAAGGCUACACGUGAAUAUUGUGAGGAAGAAAUCGUCGUACUAGUGGAGAAGAAUGACGAUCUUGAAAGGAAGCUAGGAGUAUUCCUGGGAGACCCCGCACCAGGAGGAGAAGACGAAGAACCCAAGGAGAUUCGCCCGGAGGACUACAUCAUCAUCGACGACACCGACUCCGACCUUAGCGAUGAUGACUAUGAAGACGAAGCUGGAGCAGACAUCAUGGAGUCUUCAACCGAGGAAUAUUUUUAGUAGACCAUCACAUCAGUAGUAGUAUUCCACCAUGUAAAUACUGUAGUCCGAGCACUUUUGCGAUAGUUCUAGACCGAUUGUAUGACUUGCUUGAUUGAUUGAGUGAAAUGUUUGUGUUUGUCUCAUGUGCAUGUGGGUAGUGCUUUCUCAUUAGACCUCAUUCUAUUCUAAUCUCUCCCCUCUAAACCCAUUAGAUGCCUUCGAGACAUGACCCCGGAUUUACCUUCCCACCGGAGCUCACUCAGUUGAUCCAGCAAUAGAAUACCCUGAUGCAGUUGUUAGUCCAGAACCAAGGCAACAACAACAAUCCACCACCACCACCACCACCAGUUGACAACUUAGCCCGUUUUCCGAGGUUGCAGCCGUCGGUGUUUUCCAAUAGCACCGAGCCUAUAGUAGCAGAUGAUUGGCUCCGCAGGAUUGGAAGGGAGUUAACCACUGCAGGAUGUACCGAUGCUGAGAAGGUGCGUUUUGCCGCACAUCAGUUGGAUGGACCAGCAGCCUCGUGGUGGGAGAAUUACACUGUCACCUACCCUAUAGACACAGUGACAUGGGGCCAGUUUCAGCAAGCCUUCCGUACAGCCCAUGUCUCAACUGGAGCUAUGAGUAUGAAGAAGCGUGAGUUUCGCAACUUACGCCAGGGGAACCGUACUAUAGCUCAGUACGUGGAUGAGUUUAGCAAGUUAUCUCGCUAUGCCCCUGAUGAUGUGGCCACAGAUGCCGCGAAGAAGGAGAAGUUUAUGGAAGGGCUGAAUGAUGAGAUGAGCAUGCAGUUGAUGGUGGCAACAUUCAACAACUACCAGGAGUUGGUAGAUAAGGCUCUUAUGAUUGAAGGGAAGCAGCAGCAGAUUGAGAACCGUAAGAGGAAGUAUGGACAAGGGAGGUAUAACUCAGGAGCUCAGCAGAAGCCUCGCCUAACACCAAACUCGGGAGGACUUGUUCAUAACCAUGGAGGCCACACCCAUAAUGGAGGAAGUAACCAUAACCAUACUGGCCCAAGGAAUGGGAAUGGAAAUGGAGCAAGCAACAAUCAGAACCGCCCUAAUCCAGCCACACCCGCCAAAAGAGAUCUAAGUCACGUUACUUGCUAUAAGUGCGGGAAGACUGGACACUAUGCCACAGAGUGCCCUGAAGGGAAGAAUGGAAACGGGAAUGGGAGCGCUGGAAAGAAGCCCAAUCCAUUCAACAAAGGACAAGUGAACCACGUUAACGUGGAGGAGGUUGAAGAGCAGCCAGACGUGGUUAUAGGUAAGUUUUUGGUUAAGUCAUUUACCGCUCUUGUUCUUUUUGAUACUGGUGCAUUGCAUUCAUACAUAUCAAGGGGAUUCGUGGAUAAGUUUAGACUACCGACCCAAACCCUUAGGACCCCUCUGUUAGUAAGUUCACCUGGAGCAGAGUAUAUGGCUAGUCGAUGGUGCGACCAGAUACCCUUAACCAUUGGCAACCAUGUUUUUCCAUCCGACCUAAUUAUCUUGGAGUCACAAGGAUUGGAUGUGAUAUUAAGAAUGGACUGGAUGUCAAAGUACGGAGGAAGCAUUGACUGUGUUAGCAAGUCAAUUUGUCUCACCACCCCAGAGGGAAAAAGGAUCAAGUACGUAUCUAGGCAUGCGCCAAGAAGUAGCCAAGUGAAUACCCUCACGGGAGUUGUUCAGGAGGAAGUGCCUGUAGUAAAGGAUUACCCGGAUGUUUUCCCAGAGGAGUUACCUGGCAUGCCACCGGAUCGAGAUAUCGAGUUUUUGAUAGAGCUAUUGCCAGGCACAGGGCCAAUAUCCAAGAGACCCUAUCGGAUGCCCGCGAAUGAUCUGGAGGAUAUUAAGAAACAGAUCAAGGAAUUAUUGGAGAAAGCUUACAUUCGAUGGAGUUCAUCACCAUGGGGAGCCCCAGUGCUUUUGGUUGAGAAGAAGGAUAAGUCUUUAAGAAUGGUUGUUGAUUAUCGGGCCUUGAAUGAAGUGACGAUCAAGAACAAGUACCCAUUGCCGAUGAUCAAUGAUCUGUUUGACCAGCUGCAAGGAGCCAAGGUGUUUUCGAAGAUCGAUCUGCGAUCAGGAUACCAUCAGUUGAAGAUACGAGAGAAGGAUAUACCAAAGACAACAUUCACCACACAGUACAGGUUAUACGAAUAUACGGUCAUGUCGUUUGGACUGACUAACGCCCCUGCCUAUUUCAUGAGCAUGAUGAACAAAGUAUUCAUGGAAUAUUUGGAUAAGUUUGUUGUGGUGUUCAUUGAUGAUAUAAAGGUAUAUUCGAAGAACGAGGAGGAGCACAAGGAGCAUUUGCGUUUAGUUCUCGAGAAACUCAGGGAACAUCAGUUGUAUGCCAAGUUCAGCAAAUGCGAAUUUUGGUUGAAGGAAGUCGGAUUCCUUGGACAUGUUAUAUCAGGAGAAGGUAUAGCAGUAGACCCCACCAAGAUUUAGUCAGUCACUGAAUGGUUGGCACCCACUUCAGUUUGCGAGAUCCGCAGUUUUCUUGGACUCGCAGGAUGCUAUCGGAGAUUCAUUGAGAAUUUUUCCAAGAUUGCAAAGCCAAUGAUGGAGUUAUUGAAGAAGGAUACCAAGUUUAAAUGGACGGAAGAUUGCAAGGCAAGUUUCCAGGAGCUGAAGAAACGUUUGACUACAGCCCCAGUGCUGACACUGCCAGAUAUACGUAAGGAUUUCCAAGUGUAUUGCGACGUCUCUCGCCUAGGACUUGGAAGUGUGCUUAUGCAGGACGGAAGAGUUGUCUCGUAUGCCUCACGACAACUGAAACCUCACGAGUUGAAUUAUGAUACGCAUGAUUUGGAACUAGCAGCCAUAGUGCAUGCGUUGAAGACUUGGAGACAUUACCUCAUUGGAAACCAUUGUGAUGUGUACACUGAUCAUAAGAGUUUGAAGUACAUCAGAGAAGAUGGUUGGAGCUUAUAAAGGAUUAUGACAUGAAGCUUCACUAUCAUCCAGGAAAGGCCAAUGUCGUAGCAGACGCUUUGAGCCGGAAGAGUUAUACUAAUACCCUAGAGAGCACGAGAUUGCCGAAGGAGUUAGCAGAGGAUCUCCAGGAACUUCGAUUGGAGAUUGUUCCUAGAGGUUUUGUUGCAACAAUGGAGGUUCAGCCUACAUUGUUGGGAAAGAUUAGAGAAGCUCAGAAGGAUGACAAAGAGAUUGCCGAGAUCAAAGAGAGAAUGAGCAAAGGAAAGGCCAAAAGUUUUCAUGAGGAUGAGCACGAUACCUUAUGGUUUGAGGACCGAGUUUAUGUUCCCAAUAACAUAGAGAUCAGGAAAUUAAUACUACAGGAGGCUCAUGACUCACCAUAUUCGAUACACUCCGGAAACACCAAGAUGUAUUUGGAUUUGCAGGAAUGUUUCUGGUGGACAAGGAUGAAGAAGGAUAUCGCCGAGUAUGUAGCCGUAUGUGAUGUAUGCCAGAGAGUGAAGGCAGAGCAUCAAAAGCCAGUAGGAUCUUACAGGCUAUGCCGAUACCCGAAUGGAAGUGGGAUAAACUUGGCAUGGACUUUAUCACUGGAUUACCCAGGACCAAAUCGGGAUAUGAUUCUAUAUGGGUAGUAGUUGACCGCUUGACCAAAGUGGCACAUUUUAUCUCGGUAAAAAGCAACUUAUACCAGUGCAAAGUUGGCCAAGAUAUAUAUGACCAGGAUCGUAUGUCUGCAUGGAGUUCCAAGGACUAUCGUAUCAGAUAGAGGAACACAGUUAACCUCAAAGUUUUGGCAUCAGUUGCACCAGACUUUGGGAACGAGAUUGGCGUUCAGUACAACAUUUCACCUGCAGACCGAUGGACAGACCGAGAGAGUCAACCAGAUUCGGGAGGAUAUGUCGAGAGCCUGUGUGCUAGAUUAUGGGUCUAGUUGGGAUGACAAUCUGCCUUACGCAGAAUUCUCAUACAACAAUAGCUACCAAGCCAGUUUGAAGAUGGCACCGUUCGAAGCCCUAUAUGGACGAAGGUGUAGAACACCGUUGAUGUGGGAUGAAGUUGGAGACCGAGAGUUGUUCGGACCAUACUUGAUCAAAGAGUCUGAGGAGAAAGUUAAACUAGUUUGAGAUAGACUGAAGAUAGCUCAGUCCAGACAGAAGAGUUAUGUAGAUUCGAAGCGCAAGGAGGUAACCUAUGAAAUUGGAGACAGAGCAUAUCUGCGAGUAUCACCUUUGCGAGGAGUGAAACAUUUUGGAGUUAAGGGAAAGUUAGCCCCGAGAUUUGUAGGACCGUAUCGUGUUUUGGAACGGAUGGGAGAAGUUGCCUACAAGUUGGAGUUACCUGAAGGACUGUCAGGAGUUCACGAUGUGUUUCACGUUUCCCAGUUGAAGAAGUGCCAUGCUGAGAUGGCCGAUAUACCGCUAAGAUAUACCGUACCCUUGGAGGUGAUUCAGUUGGACAAUGAUUUGACUUAUGAGGAGAAGCCAGUCAAGAUUUUGGAGUUUGCCAGUCAAAUCACCCGCAGCAAGGUUAUCAAGUUUUUCAAAGUUCAGUGGAGCCACCAUAACGAGGACGAAGCCACCUGGGAACGAGAGGAUGAUCUUCGCAAAGACCACCCACACCUAUUUUCUAGACAACCUGAAUCUCGAGGGCGAGAUUCAUCUUAAGUGGGGUAGGUGUAACAUCCCAAAUUUUCGAUUUGGAAUGUUAUACAUAGAUCAUUCUUGCAUAUCAUAUUUUAUUGCAUUUCGUCUCGCGAUCCUCGAAAUCCUAAGCAACUCAAGGACCCUCGGAUAGAGUUGGGGAUUUCCCCGGUUUUCAAAUUUGAUUUCUAUCAAAUUUUGGAACGAGGAUUUUUGGUUUUAAUUAUUUUUCUCUCCGAAAAUAUUUCAUAUUAAAAUAUAUGAGAGGAGAUAAUAUGACUUCUCCAAAAUAAAUGAAAUAUCGGAGGAAAAAUAUUAAAAUCAAAUAUUUGUUUUAUUUGGAUUUUAUUGCAAUUUUGUUUGCAUUAGAAAAAUUGCACGUUUUUCAAAAUUGCAUUUUAGGGCCAAGAAAAUGUUCAUCUCGUUCUAAAUAUUUUAUUUAGAUGAUGAAAUUUUGUUUUGACAUUUAUAGAUUUUUAUUUUAUUUUCUAGAACUUUUUUUCUGUUCGGCGGAAUUGUUUUUGUUUAAAAAAGAUCCCCGGGCACCGAUUGGGCCGAAACCCCCAGCCGGGCCGGCCCACUCCCUCCCGCGCGCCGUCUCCCUCCUGCAGACCGGCUGCGCCGCCACCGACUCGGAGGAGUCCGAGCCGGACUCACCUCCCCGCCGCCCUUGCCCCCUCCCCAAGUUAGCCCCCCUCCUUUAAAUACCCCCCCCAUCGCCGCCACCACCCACCGCCGCCCGCAGCCCCGCCCGCAGCCGCUGCCGUCGCCGCUCCCGCGCGGCACCUCGCCGUUGCCGCCUCGCCCCGCCGCCGCUCCCGCAUCUCGCCGGACCGACGAGGUAGCCGUUCGCCGCCGUUUUUUUAAGAAAACCGAUUCAGUUUUUUAAGAAAAUCCCUAGUUCGUUUUUAGAUCGGUUCGCUGUUUUUUCCGGUUCUUCUCUUUAACGGACAUUCACCCGUACGUUCGUUUUAAAUAACGGCUUUCGCUCGUUAGUUUCAGUCAAUGAACGCUCGUUCGUUAGGCUGUUCGUCAGUUUUCUUUUAUCAGACUUUUUCUGCGAUUAUUUCUGAUCGCGAUUUCUGAUCCGAUCUUCGUUCUAGUUCAUCUUUUCGCUCGUUUGUCGAAAUCAGGCGAUUCAAGCACCUAGAUCUUCGUCUCGAGACCCUCUUUCUGUUUAAUCAACUUGAACAAGCUUUUGCUACUGUAAAAUUUGACCUAGGUCCAGACUAGUAAACGGAUCUAGUUUCUUUCGCCGUUUGAGUUUCGUUGCUCCGUUUGAUUUGAUUCUUUUUUGCUAACCGAAGUUCUUAAGUUGAACUUUCUGGUAGAUCUUAUUAUUUGAGUUUUACCCGUGCUUCUUUGCUUGAUUGCUUAUGUAUGCUAUUGUUUGUUUGUGAUAGAAUUCCCGGAGUGCGAAGCGUGUUAUUUGGAGUCCCUAGGUUUCGUGGAUCGUCAGCAAGGCAAGUAACACUUUGAUCAUAUCCCUUUAUCACCCAGUUUUUAUGCAUUAGUUCCAAUCCUCAAACAUUGCGUGGUUAGGAUGUCAUUAACUUGUGGGUUGGGAAGUAGUUGAUGAGAUAGAACCUAUUGCCCUGUUAUAUUCAAACCUUGGGAGUUACUUAUACGAAUUGCUUGUAGUGCUAUGCUAUGCUCGUAGACGUGGUUUGGGUGAGUGAAAUCCAUGACAGAUGUGAGAUUGUUAAAUAAUGGUUUAACUUAAGGUGGCAACUUGAAUACACAUCUGGGUGGAUUGAGGCACCUGGAGUACCCAGUGUUGCCUGUAUUUUUGGAGAUCCCGGGGUUCCUUGUGAUUUUCCUAUGGACCGCCACCCAGGCUCAAAGUGAACUGAGAUGAUUCAUGAUAGAAAUUUCUGUGUGCAGCCACAAGCUAUUGUGGGCUCUAGCAUAGUUGAGUAAGUUACGUGAAGCUUUUAAAGAGGUGGAUCAGUAGGUAGUGGGUUGUAGGUUUGGUAUGGUCUGCCCGGAGUAGAGAGUUAAUGUUUUUGAAAGACUAUGUCUCGGUCUUCCAUUUCUCAAACAUCAUGUAGUGCGAGAAAUCCAACGGAGGAGAUCGAGUCUUGUGGGGAAAAGUGCGCAAACCUCUGUCGAGGGCGCGCCUGGGGGGUAGGCGCGCCCCACUACCUCGGGGCUUCCUCCUUUAUUUCUUGACAUAAGGUCCAAGUCUCCUGGAUCAUGUUCGGUGAGAAAAUCACGUUCCCGAAGGUUUCAUUCCAUUUGGACUCCGUUUGAUAUUCCUUUUCUUCGAAACCCUAAAAUAGGAAAAAACAACAAUUCUGGGCUGGGCCUCCGGUUAGUAGGUUAGUCCCAAAAAUAAUAUAAAAGUGGAUAAUAAAGCCCAAUACUGUCCAAAAUAGUAGAUAAUAUAACAUGGAACAAUCAAAAAUUAUAGAUACGUUGGAGACGUAUCAAGCAUCCCCGAGCUUAAUUCCUGCUCGUCCUCGAGUAGGUAAAUGAUAAAAAUAGAAUUUUUGAUGUGGAAUGCUACUUGGCAUAAUUUCAAUGUAAUUCUUCUUAAUUGUGGUAUGAAUAUUCAGAUCCGAAAGAUUAAAGAUAAAAGUUCAUAUUGACAUAAAAAUAAUAAUACUUCAAGCAUACUAACUAAGCAAUUAUGUCCUCUCAAAAUAACAUGGCCAAAGAAAGUCCAUCCCUACAAAAUCAUAUAGUUUAGUCAUGCUCCAUUUUCAUCACACAAGAAUGCUCUCAUCAUGCACAACCCCGAUGACAAGCCAAGCAAUUGUUUCAUACUUUAGUAAUCUCAAACCUAUAAACUUUCACGCAAUAUAUGAGCGCGAGCCAUGGACAUAGCACUAUGGGUGGAAUAGAAUAUGAUGAUGGGGGUUAUGUGGGGAAGACAAAAAAGGAGAAAGUCUCACAUCAACGAGGCUAAUCAAUGGGCUAUGGAGAUGCCCAUCGAUUGAUGUUAAUGCAAGGAGUAGGGAUUGCCAUGCAACGGAUUCACUAGAGCUAUAAAUGUAUGAAAGCUCAACAAAAGAAACUAAGUGGGUGUGCAUCCAACUUGCUUGCUCACGAAGACCUAGGGCACUUGAGGAGGCCCAUUGUUGGAAUAUACAAGCCAAGUUCUAUAAUGAAAAAUUCCCACUAGUAUAUGAAAGUGACAAAACAAAAGACUCUCUAUCAUGAAGAUUAUGGUGCUACUUUGAAGCACAAGUGUGGCAAAGGAUAGUAGCAUUGUACCCCUUUUUUGUUUGGCCUUUCCUUUUUUUAUUUGUCCUUUCUCUUUUUUAGGACAAUGCUCUAUGAAUGAUGGUCAUCACACUUCUAUUUAUUUACAACUCAAGAAUUACAACUCGAUACUUAGAACAAGAUAUGACUCUAUAUGAAUGCCUCCGGCGGUGUACCGGGUUAUGCAAUGAACCAAGAGUGACAUGUAUGAAAGAAUUAUGAACGGUGGCUUUGCCACAAAUAAUAUGUCAACUACAUGAUCAUGAUAAGCAAUAUGACAGUGAUAAAUGUGUCAUGAUAAAUGGAAUGGUGGAAAGUUGCAUGGCAAUAUAUCUCGGAAUGGCUAUGGAAAUGCCAUAAUAGGUAGGUAUGGUGGCUGUUUUGAGGAAGAUAUAAGGAGGUUUAUGUGUGAAAGAGUGUAUCAUAUCACGGGGUUUGGAUGCACCGGCGAAGUUUGCACCAACUCUCAAUGUGAGAAAGGGCAAUGCACGGUACCGAAGAGGCUAGCAAUGAUGGAAGGGUGAGAGUGCGUAUAAUCCAUGGACUCAACAUUAGUCAUAAAGAACUCACAUACUUAUUGCAAAAAUCUACAAGUCAUAAAAUCUUCAAUAUUUAUCGAGGAGGUCUAUCGUUCCGGUGCCAUGAAAAUCAACAACUUCAAAGGCACAAAUACGAAGGUGGUAAAUGGUCAGAGAAUUAAACAUUAUAUCUCACGUAAUCCCAUAAAUAUUGAAACCGUAACCCCAGAGGAAUACAUAAGGGACACUUUCCAGAACGUUUCAGACUCCGAAAAGGAAUAGGUAUGUGGUACGGUAAGUAAACCGACUCCAAAACAAUUUUAAGGCAAUAUUUCUCCGUUUUGGAAUGUUUAGAAAAAUAGAAAAUUAAGUAGCAGUCCGGGAAGGACACGAGGGCCCCACGAGGGUGGAGGGCGCGCCCUACCCCCCUGGGCACGCCCCCCUACCUCAUGAGCACCUCGUGUGCCUUCCGGACUCUGUUUUCUUGCACGAUACUUAUUUUGGUCGGUAAAAAUUCACUAUAUAUUCUCUCGAAGGUUUUGAAUCCCGUAUCACGCAAAUAUUCUCUAUUCUUGUUUCGUGCUGUUUUUCUGACAGAUCUAGAUUAUCAUGACGUCCCCAAGUGCUUCCAAGGACAAGUUCUUCGAGAAGGUCAUCAACCCUUACCUCGCGGAGGUGCUGCGACACCCUCAAACCAUUGAGAUGCGUGAUGGGUUGCUGCACAUCCGCGAUGCUGAGGGAUCAAAGGGAACUGGAAGCAUGGAGACGAGGCUCGAAGCAAUGGAGCAACAAGUUUUCAAGUGCCAGGGGAUGGUGGAGCGUGGAAUCAACGCUAGCCACACGAUGCUCGCGGAGUUCACUAACAACUACAAGCCGGAUACCAAGAACACCGAGGAGGCCAUCUUCAAGCUACAUGAGAAGAUCGAGCACCUCCAAGCCCAAAUCUAUGACCUGCAAAACCAAAACUGUGAGUAUGAAUAUAGAUUCAAAAGAAUGAGUUUGGCUGUAGACUCGAGGAUUCCGGAGACUCGAUCAUCCUUCUAUGAUGGUGAACCUAUGCCUUGGAAGAUGGAUGACAAGCCCGCAUCAUCAACACCACCUCCUCCUUCUUCACCAACCAAGGAGAUAUAAUAACAUGGGUAUGGGCACUCCCCUUGGCAACUGCCAAGCUUGGGGGAGGUGCCCCAGUAUCGUAUCACAAUCACGACUCCUAUCUUUACCAUUUUCCUUAGUUCGAUCCUAUUAGUAGUAUUUUGAUCUAGUAGAAUAAAGUUUAUGGCAUGAUCUAGUUUUGAGUUUUUCCUUAUGAUCUCUCUAUGUAAUCGAGUCUGUGAGCUAUAUAAUAAAGAUUAGUGUUGAGUCAAGGGCUUGAUUUUCUUGCUAUGAUCUUGGGUGAAUAAAAGAAAAGAGAAAAAGAAUAAGAAGAAACAAAAGUUCAUAUUGAUCUUAUUGAUAGUAAUGACUUCACAUAGAAAGAGUGUGACGAUUAAAAGUUGUUGGGAGUUGGCAGACAUAGCUUUGGUCAUUGUUGCAAUUAACAGGAAGUAAUAAGGAAAGAGAGGUUUCACAUAUAAAUAUACUAUUAUUGACAUCUUUUAUGAUUGGGAGCACUCAUCAAAAUAUGACAUGCUAAAGAGUUGAUGUUGGACAAGGAAGACAACGUAACGGGUUAUGUUUUCUUAUAUCUGAGAUAAAGUAUGUUGUCAUGGAUCGUCCAACAUGUUGAGCUUGCCUUUCCCCCUCAUGCUAGCCAAAUUCUCAGCACCAAGUAGAGAUACUACUUGUGCUUCCAAAUACCCUUAAACCAGUUUUGCCAUGAGAGUCCACCAUAUCUACCUAUGGAUUGAGUAAGAUCCUUCAAGUAAGUUGUCAUCGGUGCAAAGCAAUAAAAAAUUGCUCUAAAUAUGUAUGAUUAGUGUGGGAGAAAUAAGCUUUAUACGAUCUUGUGAUGUGGAAGUAAUAAAAGCGACGGACUGCAUAAUAAAGGUUCAUAUCACAAGGGGCAAUAUAAAGUGACGUUCUUUCGCAUUAAGAUUUUGUGCAUCCAACCAUAAAAGCGCAUGGCAACCUCUGCUUCCCUCUGCGAAGGGCCUAUAUUUUAUUAUUAUCUUCUACCUUAUGCAAGAGUCAUGGUGAUCUUCACCCUUCCUUUUUCAUUUUAUCCUUUGGCAAGCCCAGCAUGUUGGAAAGAACCUGAUAUUUAUAUAUAUAUAUAUAUAUAUAUAUAUAUAUAUAUAUAUAUAUCUAAUUGGAUGUAGGGGGCAUGAGUUAUUAUUGUUGACAUUACCCUCGAGGUAAAAGGUUGUCGGGCGAAACUAUAAUCCCCUAUCUUUCUCUGUGUCCGUUUAAAACUCCGUAACCACAAGUAUUGCGUGAGUGUUAGCAAUUAUGAAGGACUAGAUGAUAGUUGAGUAUGUGGACUUGCUUUUUAGCUAUGACAUAGACUCUUUUUGAUGUUAUGAUAAAUUGCAAUUGCUUCAAUGACUGAGGUUAUAGUUUGUUGGUUCUCAAUAAGGUUUCUGAUUCAUACUUUUGCAUUGUGAAUAGAUCAUCACUUGAACAUAAGUAAUCAUAUGACAAUAUCUAUAUAUGUUGUUGUUAUGAGAAUAAUCAUGAUGCAUCCAUGUCCGUAUUUUAUUUUUAUCGACGCCUCUACCUCUAAACAUGGGGACAUAUUUAUUGUUAUCGGCUUUCGCUUGAGGACAAGCGAGGUCUAAGCUUGGGGGAGUUGAUACGUCCAUUUUGCAUCAUGCUUUUAUAUCGAUAUUUAUUGCAUUAUGGGCUGUUAUUUCACAUUAUGUCACAAUACUUAUGGCUAUUCUCUCUUAUUUUACAAGGUUUACAUAAGGAGGGAGAAUGCCGGCGGCUGGAAUUCUGGGCUGGAAAAGGAGCAAAUAUUAGAGACCUAUUCUGCACAACUCCAAAAGUCCUGAAACUCCACAGAAUACCUUAUAAUAAAUGAUGAAGAAUCCUGGCCAAAGAUGAAGACCAGGGGGCCCACACCCUGUCCAUGAGGGUGGGGGGCGCGCCCCCUACCUCGUGGGCCCCCUGGUGGCUCUUCGAUGACCAUCUUCUGCUAUAUGAAGUCUUUCAUCGAGAAAAAAAACCAGAAGCAACCUUUCGGGGCGAAACUCCGCCGCCACGAGGCGGAACCUUGGCGGAACCAAUCUAGGGCUCUGGCAAAGCUGUUCUGCCGGGGAAACUUCCCUCCUGGAGGGGGAAAUCAUCGCCAUCGUCAUCGCCAUCGUCAUCACCAACGCUCCUCUCAUCAAGAGAAGGCAAUCUCCAUCAACAUCUUCAUCAGCACCAUCUCAUCUCAAAACCCUAGUUCAUCUCUUGUAUCCAAUUCUCGUCUCCAAGUCCGGGAUUGGUGCCACUAGGUUGCUAGUAGUGUUAAUUACUCCUUGUAGUUGAUGCUAGUUGGUUUAAUAGGUGGAAGAUCAUAUGUUCAGAUCCUUUAUGCAUAUUAUUACCCCUCUGAUUAUGAACAUGAAUAUGCUUUGUGAGUAGUUACGUUUGUUCUUGAGGACAAGGGGGAAGUCUUGCUAUUAGUAGUCAUGUGAAUUUGGUAUUCGUUUGAUAUUUUGAUGAGAUGUAUGUUGUCUAGCCUCUAGUGGUGUUAUGUGAACGUCGACUACAUAACACUUCACCAUUAUUUGGGCCUAGAGGAAGGCAUUGGGAAGUAAUAAGUAGAUGAUGGGUUGCUAGAGUGACAGAAUCUUAAACCCUAGUUUAUGCGUUGCUUCGUAAGGGGCUGAUUGGAUCCAUAUGUUUCAUGCUAUGGUUAGGUUUACCUUAAUACUUUUGUUGUAGUUGCGGAUGCUUGCAAUAGAGGUUAAUCAUAAGUGGGAUGCUUUUUCAAGUAAGAAUAGCACCCAAGCACCGGUCCACCCACAUGUCAAAUUAUCAAAGUACCGAACGCGAAUCAUAUGAACAUGAUGAAAACUAGCUUGACGAUAUUCCCAUGUGUCCUCGGGAGCGCUUUUCCUUAUAUAAGAGUUUGUCCAGGCUUGUCCUUUGCUACAAAAAGGAUUGGCCACCUUGCUGCACUUUAUUUACUUUUGUUACUUGUUGCUCGUUACAAAUUAUCUUAUCACAAAACUAUCUGUUACCACUUAUUUCAGUACUUGCAGAGAAUACCUUGCUGAAAACCGCUUAUCAUUUCCUUCUGCUCCUUGUUGGGUUCGACACUCUUACUUAUAGAAAGGACUACGAUAGAUCCCCUAUACUUGUGGGUCAUCACUUUCCUUCCAAAAAUAAGUUCCGUGAAGUUUCAAGUCAAUUGGACUCCGUUUGAUUUUCCUUUUCUGCGAUACUCUAAAACAAAGAAAAAA
rnacentral:lncRNA from 1 species